rnacentral:lncRNA from 1 species
UACGAGUAAUGUCUUUGUGACAAGAACUUUCUUUGUCUUUUAUUCCCAUGUUUGAACUAGUAUAGGUCGGGGUUACACAUUAUGGUGCACAUCACUUUAUUUAUCAUCGUUACAUUGAACGCUCAUUGACUAAACAACGAUGAUCCAUCCAUCUUGUAUUGUAGGUCUUCAUUUCAUUGGCCACCGAUGCUUGUAAGACUAGUCUCAUAUGGUUGUUGUUGUGGAUAUGGUUGUUGAGGUUGGUGUGGUUGCUGGGGUUGCUGGGAAAUUGUUUGUUCUGGUUGCUGGGAUAAUUGUUGUUGGGGCUGUAGAAAUGGUUGUUGUGGUUGUUGGGGUAAUGGUUGUUGUGGUUGCAGGAUGGAUGGUUGUUGGGGUUGCUGGGGUUGGGGCUGGGGAAAUGAUUGUUGUGAUUGUUGGGGUUGCUGGGGAAAUGGUUGUUGCGGUCCUAGGAGGAAUGAUUAUUGUGGUUGUUGGGGGAAUGGUUGUUGNNNNNNNNNNNNNNNNNNNNNNNNNNNNNNNNNNNNNNNNNNNNNNNNNNNNNNNNNNNNNNNNNNNNNNNNNNNNNNNNNNNNNNNNNNNNNNNNNNNNNNNNNNNNNNNNNNNNNNNNNNNNNNNNNNNNNNNNNNNNNNNNNNNNNNNNNNNNNNNNNNNNNNNNNNNNNNNNNNNNNNNNNNNNNNNNNNNNNNNNNNNNNNNNNNNNNNNNNNNNNNNNNNNNNNNNNNNNNNNNNNNNNNNNNNNNNNNNNNNNNNNNNNNNNNNNNNNNNNNNNNNNNNNNNNNNNNNNNNNNNNNNNNNNNNNNNNNNNNNNNNNNNNNNNNNNNNNNNNNNNNNNNNNNNNNNNNNNNNNNNNNNNNNNNNNNNNNNNNNNNNNNNNNNNNNNNNNNNNNNNNNNNNNNNNNNNNNNNNNNNNNNNNNNNNNNNNNNNNNNNNNNNNNNNNNNUGCAGGGGGAAUGGUUGUUGGGGAAUUAUUUGUUCUGGUUGCUGGGGGAAUGGUAGUUGGGGCCGGGGAAAUGGUUGUUGGGGUUGCUGGGGGAAUGGCUGUUGUGGUUGCAGAGGGAAUGAUUGUUGGGUCUGGGGAAAUGGUUGUUGUGAUUGCUGGGAAAAUUGUUGUUGGGGUGUGGGAAAUGGUUGUUGCGAUGGAUAUGGUUGCUGUGAUGGAUAUGGUUGUUGUGGAUAUGGCUGUUGUAGAAAUGGUUGUUGUUGAUAGGAAAAUGAUUGUUGAGGUGAUUGUAAUUCUUUGUUGCUAGGGUUUAGCUGCCUAGCGGCAGUGGCGAUGUUCAUCGCCAUGGCAAGGAGGACAAAGAUGAGGAAGGUCUUCAUGUUGGAUUUGUGGUUACUACUGCUUGCUUGCUUUUGAUGCUUGUGGUCUAGGUGUGUGAAGUUUGGAUGAUGAAAUGUGGUCUUGGUGGUGCAUGUGUAUUUAUAGUUUUCAUGGCAUGGCUUGCUUUCUUCUUCCCACUCGCUUUUUGAAAAAGUGCACCAAUGCUUAUCCAACUAAUCAUUUGAUUUGUUGUGUUUGGUGCAACUACUUACUAGCAAGAUUUUGGAUUUUCAUGAUAGUUGCUUUUUGUUGAAAUCAUCUGGUUGUAAGGAAUGUUGGAUAAUGACCAAUGACUCAUCUUCUUCACUUUACACUGCAAACAUUGAUCUAAAUUAUAUCCUUUUUUGAAAUUUAGUUUGUGAAGCUCUACAUGUUGUUAGGCUUAUCUAUAUUGGCAUAGCUUGAGUGGAAUUAAGUUUGUAAGCUUGUGAGCGUCAUUAUGAUGGAUCACACUAUUAAUGUGAUGAUUGUACUACAAAUUAUCUUUCCAAAACUAAUUUUAUGUUUUUUCCCAAUAUGAUUCUAAGACGGAUAACCAGACAUGACUCAUCAAAUAACAAGAUAAACCGAGUAGCAAAUUGGGGUUAUAAGUUAUAACAUGGACUUUUCUCUAAGAUACACUAUCUUGUCUUGCAUGCUCUGUGAAUUUGAAAAGCAUCUACUAAUUUAUAUGCAAUUGAAACAAAAGUAGACCAGAAAGAUAAGCAAUGAAAUGAGAAUACUAUUAUGUGAAGCUCUACAUGUUUGGCAAGCAAUAAGAUACUGGAUACAUCUAUAUCUUCAAUCCUGACAAUUUUUCUCAUCCCUAUCAACUCUUUAUUGGCUGCCUUUACUGUAGUCAUCCCUUAAAUAAAAAUCACUUAAAGAUAAGUUUGGGAGCUAGUACCAGCAUCUAUCAUGUACAAGAUAAAAAACUAAGGCACAUAUAGUAGUCUAUUGACUAUAUUUAAUUUCAUGUGAUGUGAAAGCAUGUGGAGUAUAAGUUGGUUAAAUAUAAAAUUGUCCUUCAUACCAGUAGGGAAAGAAUAUGCAGUAUAAAGAUUAGAGCAUUAUUAAUAUGCUAUUAAAUGCUACAGGAUAAUCGAUAGUUCAAGUUAAGAACAACAAUAGCAUUCCAACUUUUGUUUUGUGCAAGUUAAGAACAUGCUAACAAAGUAACCUAAGCAAAUAAGUGCAACACCUUCACCUAUAAGGAAAUUUUGAAACUACACAAAAUGACCUAUUGUAAAGAAGGAAAAAAAUCUAAAGGUGAAUGAAAAGCAUGUUAAGUACAUUCAGGAUUCGGUUAUGCCUUCAUGGAUAACCUUUUAGAUGGUGACUUGUCAACCUUGAUGUGUGUCGGCAUGGAACGAGGACAAGAAGACAUCGUUACGUCGUACUUUGGGAAUUUCAUCAAACUGGUUGUGUGCGGGAACAAAUAUUUGUCGCCUCCCUGCUCAAAUCUCUCUUCAUGUCACUAAAUCCGACACUCCACCUACCAAAAUCAGCUGCAAGCCAGGGACAAUCAACAGGUUUCUCCGCCCGUAGCAUCUAUCACCAAAAGAAGUUCAGACUAUAGUCUUGUAGUUUAAAAUUUUGUAAUAACAAGCACUACUAGGUUGCUCUUGUUUGUACGUCUUCAUUAUGUACAACCCAUGGAACUUAAAAUGCAUGGGUCAUUCUUCGGUAUAUACAACCAAUGCAACCAAACAUGCAUUGGGCUUUUCUUUGUACAUCUUCAGGUUCUACAACCAAUGCAACAAAAAAUCCAUUGGGCAGUCUUCCAUUCUAGUCGGGCACCAAUAGUUAAACGAGGAGCUAAACAGUGUUGGAGUCUAAAACUACAUACAAUCAUGAAGCAGAGAGAUGCGACUUGGAAGUUGUGCUCCUGUGAGCUCGUAUUUUUGAAGAAAAAAGUAAUAUUUGUAUUUUGAAGUGGGAAAAAGUCCUAAAAAGGGAUGUUUUGCGGGUUAUAACUUACUAUUUUUGAGUCCUGGGCUGCAGGAAGGUCGUAAAAAAUCAAUGUGUUUUCCCAUUCAUGCAUGUUUCUUGGGUUAUAGGUCACGCUUUUGGUGUCCUAGGGAGAUCACUUCCCCAGUUGGGAACAUUAGGUGAUGAUUUUUAGCAAAACUCAUUGUUUUAGCCUAACUAGUUUCGAGGAUUGGUGGACAAGAUUAUCAUGGAACAAAGUGACAACCUUCCUUUUCUUCAUGCCUAAUAUAAACUUAGCAGUCAACUAAAAGUAACUAGCGAUAUCACAGAAUGUUUUUUUGUCAAAAGUAGAUACCACUUCAGGAUUCAACUCGGUUAGUUCAAUCAUAGACAUGUUAAGAGCAGGAUUUACAACUAACUGCAUAGGGAACAUCUCCUUUUAUCGCCCACUAUCUGUCUAUGCACUUUGGUUUUCCCGUAGCAGCACACAAAGCACUUUGUUAGUACCAAUAAUGUGCUCCAACUCUACACAUUAAUCAUCUUGAAUUCUUCUACUGAUGUCGAACAAUGUUAUAUCUUGAAUUCUUCUAACGAGUUCAGAUUAUACUACAUGGGCAAUUUAUCUGGUCCCUGAGAUGCAAGGUCGAUGAACAAUCGCUUCGUCUGAUGAUGAGGGAUUGUUUUUGCCUAAGAAACCAAUACAUGUAACUUCGACGCCAGAUUAAUAAUUGGUAAAACCCAAAUAAAUUAGAUCACGAGCUAAACCAUUUAAUUUUGUAUGCAUUUAAACUUUUGAUACAUAUGAGCUUGUUAAGAUGUUCGCAUAAACACCAUGGUGAUUUGAAGCAAGACAAAGUAAACUUGAACCGCUUGAGCCACUGACUUAAUAAGAACCUCCUUUCCCGUGGCAGAGAUCGUUUUUAAUACAUCCACUCACUUUGGUUCUCUUAUGAAAUCUAGAUUCCUUCGCUAAGGCUAUUGCUCCAGUAUUGUCACAAAAGAUUUUUGUUGGACCCGAUGCACUAGGUAUGACACCUAGAUCGGAUAUGAACUCCUUCAUCCCGACUCCUUCAUUUGCUACUUCCGAAGCAGCUAUGUACUCCUCUUCACAUGUAGAUCCCUCCACGACGCUUUGCUUGAAACUGCACCAACUGACAGCUCCACCAUUCAAUAUAAAUACGUAUCCGGUUUGUGACUUAGAGUCAUCCAGAUCAGUGUCAAAGCUUGCAUCAACGUAACCAUUUACAACGAGCUCUUUGUCACCUCCAUAAAUGAGAAACAUAUCCUUAGUCCUUUUCAGGUAUUUCAAGAUGUUCUUGACCGCUAUCCUAUGAUCCACUCCUGGAUUACUUUGGUACCUCCCUGCUAAACUGAUAGCAAGGCACACAUCUGGUCUGGUACAUAGCAUUGCAUACAUGAUAGAACCUAUUGCUGAAGCAUAGGGAAUGACUUUCAUUUUCUCUCUAUCUUCUGCAUUGGUCGGGCAUUGAGUCUAACUCAACUUCACACCUUGUAACACAGGCAAGAACCCUUUCUUUCCUUGAUCCAUUUUGAACUUCUUCAAAACUUUAUCAAGGUAUGUGCUUUGUGAAUGUCUAAUUAACCGUCUUGACCUAUCUUUAUAGAUCUUGAUGCCCAAUAUAUAAGCAGCUUCACCGAGGUCUUUCAUUGAAAAAUUCUUAUUCAAGUAUCCUUUUAUGCUAUCCAGAAAUUUCGUAUCAUUUUCGAUCAACAAUAUGUCAUCCACAUAUAAUAUCAGAAAUGCUACAAAGCUCCCACUCACUUUAUAAAGGCUUCUCCAAAAGUCUGUAUAAAACCAUAUGAUUUGAUCACACUAUCAAAAUGUAUAUUCCAACUCUGAGAGGCUUGCACCAAUCCAUAAAUGGAUCACUGGGCUUGCACACUUUGUUAACACCUUUUGGAUCGACAAAACCUUUUGGUUGCAUCAUAUACAACUCUUCUUUAAGAUAUCCAUUAAGAAAUGCAGUUUUGACAUCCAUUUGCCAAAUUUCAUAAUCAUAAAAUGCGGCAAUUGCUAACAUGAUUUGGACAGACUUAAGCAUCGCUACGGGUGAGAAGGUCUCAUCAUAAUCAACUCCUUGAACUUGUCGAAAACCUUUCGCAAAAAGUCGAGAUUUGUAGACAGUAACAUUACCAUCAUCGUCAGUCUUCUUCUUGAAGAUCCAUUUAUUCUCUAUGGCUUGCCGAUCAUCGGGAAAGUCAACCAAAGUCCACACUUUGUUCUCAUACAUGGAUCCCAUCUCAGAUUUCAUGGCCUCAAGCCAUUUCGAGGAAUCUGGGCUCAUCAUUGCUUCCUCAUAGUUUGUAGGUUCAUCAUGGUUGAGUAACAUGACCUCCAGAACAGGAUUACCAUACCACUCUUGUUGGGAAUAUGACUACCAGGUAUGACCCGCCCAGGAGGGGCCGGGUCAAUCCUAAUGGCGGGUUACUAAAAGAAGCUCAGUGAAUAUACAAGGCGAUAGUUUAUUAUAAGACUUGUAGUAGGACCAAGCCCAAAGGCGGGUUAAGGCCCAUAAUUGUAAACCGCCAUGUAUAAGAAAGAAUUGUAAAGAAAGGCAUGUAAGAGAAGUCACCGAGCCGGGCACGUUAUAUGAGCCGGCUGGGACUCUGUAGGCCGCCAGGCGUCAACCCGUGUAUAUAAGGGGACGACCCGGUGGCGGCUUAGGGCAAGUAACAUCAAAUCGAGAGCCAUGCAUAGCGUAUUUGCUCCCUGGUCAUCGAAACCUAGCAAUACCACAUCAACUGGACUAGGCUUUACCUUCACCGUAGGGGGCCGAACCAGUAUAAACCUUUCGUGUCCUUUGUCCCGAUUAACCCCUUUAAGCUUCCUAGUUGCGAUGGCUCCACGACUAAGUCCUUUCAGUAGGACAUCUGCCGUGACAAUUCCACGACAGUUGGCGCCCACCGUGGGGCCAUCGCACGAUGGAUUUGAGUUCUUGAAGGGCAGCUUCCAAGGGCUCAAGGGAUACGCUGUGGGCCGGAUAACCAAAAGUUGUCACAGCAAGCUCUACAUCGACGACGCAGGCUGGGGCCCCGAGGCUGGCUCAAUCGAGUACGGGUACCGGGUCCCCUUCGGCGGAAUCCACGUCUUCAUCGGCCGGAUCGGCGAGCCGGGCCCUGAGUCGGACAUCUGCACCGACCUCAUCGAGAUGGCUCAGCGAGUGAGACCUGCCCGGGCUCAACCUGCCGUGAGGCGUGCCUUCGUGGGUUGCAUCCAUGGAGGGGAAUUUUCUGAAGGAUCGAUGGACGGUGGUGAGACAGUCGUUUGCUCUAGCAGUGAGUCGUCCAUAGGCGAGACAGAUUCUUUGUAUCAGCUACAAGAUGGCGGGCUUGGGGGCUGUUCCGAUGGCAGUAGUAUUCCGGACCCCUCUGAGCCGCCGAAUCGAGCCGGAGUCUUCAUGGCUGGCACUCAACCUGGUUAGAAUUCUAUGGCUGCGGCAGCAAUAACCACUGGGUCAGCAGGGGCCGGGUCAGGAGACCCCGCGCGCCCACCGGCUCAGGUACUAAUGGACCUCAUGGAUAGGAUGACGGCCCUGUUGACUGCUGUGGUUGAGCCGGCAGAUAAGGCUCAGCAUGACGCAGAGGUAGCACAGCUACACAGAGAGGUAGCACAGGCCAAGGAAAAUUUAGUGGCGGAAGAUGUCAGGAUGGCCGCGGAACGGGCGGCUCUGGAUGCACGGGCUCGGCAGCUUCAAGCGAAGACUUUCUGGCUCUCGGUGGAUCUGAACGCAUCAAACGAGGUCACGAGGAGAAGGCACCAGAAGGCUCAAUCAUGUCUGCCUCUGACUUACGAUCCUAGGAACCUUUUUCACACACCCGGGACUGGUCCCAGUAACCCGCUGAAGGCAAACCGGAUCACAACACCCGGGACCGGGACGCCGGUUCAACCGCGGGCCAUGGAACCACCGCGUGUGAAUACUGCUCUGCCUCACUACACAGCGAUACCACCGGGUCACUUCUCUAACCCCUUGGAGAACCUUAUUGCUGCGUCGGCUCAUCUGGCGGCUCUCCCGAUGGAAGGUGACUCUUCGACGGCGAUCGAGACACGACGGGUCAGAGAACUUCUUCAGACGGCUCUGGCACAGCAGGAUGCAUAUUCUUAUAGUUGAGAUAGAAUCCAUUCAACCCCUCGCCCAAGCCGGAGCCCAAGCUAUAGCAGGCAUAUGGACUCGGCGGCCAUGUCAAGCAACACCCAGCGCCGUAACCAUCCACGUGGGCGUGACCCGGCCCCGGGCGGAGCUUGUAACUUGGUAGACCAGGAGAGGAUCCGUCAAGAGGCUGAACGGGUGGUUCAACAGGCGGCUGAGCAAGCGGCUCACCAAGCUUUUCCAAUUUAUACAGUGACCUCUGUUGAAGCAGGGGUGGCCACAAGGACAGGAGGAGUCCCUUGUCUUGUGCAGUCUCUGCGUAAUGAGCGUUUACCAAAGGACUUUAAGGGGCCUCGUAAGGUGCCCAAUUACACAGCCGACCUGCAGCCCGGAGCAUGGAUUGAAAGUUACGAGAUGGCCAUGGAGUUAUUAUAAGUCAGUGACGCAGCAAUGGCCAAAUACUUCACCAUGAUGUUGGAUGGAACAGCUCGUACUUGGUUAAAGGGGUUACCGCCCAACUCCAUCGGCUCAUGGGCGGAGUUGAAGGCACGGUUCAUUCAGAACUUUAAAGAUACCUGUAAACAGCCCAUGUCAAUCGUGGACUUGACUAACUGCAAGCAAGAGGAAGGCAAAUCCAUGACCCAUUGGGUGCGCCGGGUCAAGGAAAUAAUACAUUCAUCUGAUAAGAUGGAUGCCAGCUCCACGGUCUUAAUGUUGGAGAAAAAUUACCGUUUUGAACCUCUGAAACAGAAGCUGGGGCGGCUCAAGCAUGAUUGUAAUGACAUGGGCCAGUUGAUGGCGGCUCUGGUCAAAUAUGCUGACUCUGACAGUACCAAGGAUCCCAUGUCUGACGAAGAGAAGACGAGGAAGGGAAAGAAGAACGGCAACGGCAAGGGUCACCAGCAUAACCCGACAAAUCAAGGAGGUAAUAAACGCAAGGCUGACGAGUUUGUGGCUAACACCAAUGCACAUGGCAACAACCAAUGGCGCAAGGGGAGGCCACCUCCUCGGUCAGGCGGAUCAGGUCCCACCCUCGAGCAACUACUAAAUGAACCCUGUCCGGGACAUGGCACCCGGGAGAAGCCGGCUACCCAUCUGUGGAAGGAUUGUACGAUCAUGAAGGCUUUUAAGAAUUCUAACAUGUUUGAUGGUAACCACGGGCCUGCUGGCGGCUCAGGCGGUGGCGGUUUUCAUGGCCAAGGCCAUCCGGGUAGUCAAGGCGAUUAUAGUCAGCAAUCCGGCCAGGGCAGUCAGCAACAGCAGCAACAGCCCGUGUAUCAGAGUAACCCAAAACAGCUGAACAGUGGACAGUACCAUGUGUUUACCACCAGUUUGUGCAAGAGGGACCAGAAGCUUCAGAAGAGGGAUGUAAAUGCUAUUGAGCCGGCGGUUCCACGUUAUUUGAGAUGGUCUGAACAACCUAUUCUGUGGAGUAGGGAAGAUCACCCACCCCGGGUUGAUAAUCCGGGUCAUCUGGCUUUGGUGGUGGCGCCUCAGGUUGGUGGAUAUAAGUUCACUAAAGUGCUCAUGGACGGAGGCAGUAGCAUCAACGUCCUCUAUUAUGAGACGUUCUGUCGCAUGGGGUUGACUGAUAAGAGUCUUAAAACAUCCAACACUGUUUUUAUGGGGUAGUGCCUGGUAAGUCGGCGUACCCAGUUGGUAAAAUUGAGCUGGAAGUGGCCUUUGGAGAUGAGUAUGAUUCUAGGGCUGAGAAGCUAACUUUUGAAGUGGUUAAAAUCAAGAGCCCAUAUCACGCUCUGUUUGGACGGCCGGCUUAUGCUAAGUUCAUGGCCCGGCCGUGUUAUGUGUAUUUGCAGCUCAAAAUGUUGGGUUAUAAAGGCACUAUCAUAGUACAUGGAAGCCGGAAAAUAGCCCUGGAAUGUGAAGAAGGUGAUGCUGCAUAUGCCGAGUCUGUUUGUGCAACAGAGGAAUUGAAGUUUUAUAAGGAUAAUGUUGACCCGGCAAACAUGGCGUCUUUGAAGAAGCCAACUACGGAGCAUGAGCCGGCAUUGAAAUUCAAGUCCGCUGAUGACACCAAGAUGAUUGAUUUCGUGUCUGGCGACUCAUCCAGACACUUCAUUAUCAGUGCUAACUUGGAUCCAAAAUAGGAAAGCGUGCUCAUCGAGUUCAUCCAUGAGAACCGGGACAUCAUUGCAUGGAAGCCUUCUGACAUGCCGGGUGUUCCGAGAGAACUCGUUGAGCACACUCUCAAUAUUCAUCCAAAGUUUAAGAUGGUCGGGCAAUUUCUUCGGCGGUUUAACGAGGAAAGGUGCAAGGCCAUUGGAGAAGAGGUGGCCCGGCUCUUGGCGGCCGGGUUCAUUGUUGAAGUUUUUCACCCAGAGUGGUUGGCUAACUCGGUGCUUGUGCUUAAAAAGAACGGCACCUGGCGCAUGUGUGUGGAUUACACAAAUUUAAACAAGGCUCGUCCAGCUGAUCCUUUUGCUCUCCCUCGUAUUGAUCAAAUCAUUGAUGCUACGGAGGGUUGUGAGCGUUUGAGUUUUCUGGAUGCUUAUUCGGGUUAUCAUCAGAUCAAGAUGGCAGUUAAGGACCAGGAGAAAACAGCUUUCAUCACUCCGUUUGGAGCCUUCUGCUAUGUGUCUAUGCCUUUUGGGCUCAAGAGUGCCCACGCGACUUAUCAGCGGUGUGUACAAAAUUGCCUUCAUAAUCAGAUUGGGUGUAAUGUUCAUGCUUAUGUGGAUGAUAUAGUGGUGAAAUCCAGAGAGAAGGAAACCUUAGUAGCUGAUCUAAAGGAAACCUUUGGUAACCUCCGGGUCUACAAGAUGAUGCUUAACCCGGCCAAGUGUGUUUUUGGAGUCCCAGCUGGCAAGCUCUUGGGUUUUUUGGUGUCUAAUGGAGGCAUUGAGGCUAACUCGGAGAAAAUAAAGGCAACCACGUCUUUGGCUAAACCGGCAUGCAUCAAUGACGUUCAGCGGCUGGCGGGCCGUGUCGCAGCUUUAAGCCGGUUUAUAAGUCGGUUGGGCGAGAAGGCUAUGCCAUUGUAUCAAAUGAUGAAAAAGGUGGAUGACUUUGUAUGGAGUGACGCUGCUGAUUCCGCUUUUGAAGGUUUGAAAAGACAGCUUGCUGGGCCACCUAUUCUUGCUGCCCCCGUUGAGAAGGAGCCGCUAUUGUUAUAUGUGGCUGCUAACUCACAAGCCGUCGGCAUGGCCAUUAUUGUGGAGCGCAAGGAGGUUGGCAAGGAACAUCCAGUUCAAUGGCCGGUUUACUACGUCAGUGAGGUGCUCAUUGGAUCCAAGAAAAGAUACCCACAUUAGCAAAAACUUGUUUAUGGGGUGUUCAUGGCAAGCCGGAAGCUUAAGCAUUACUUCCAGGGUCAUCCUAUCACUGUGGUUAGCUCUGCUCCUUUAGGAGAUAUUAUUUAGAACAGAGAAGCCACAGGACGAGUCGCCAAGUGGGCCAUUGAGCUUGGGGUCUCAUAAUAUAAAGUAUGUGCCACGUACGGCUAUUAAGUCUCAAGCACUGGUGGACUUCAUUAAUGAUUGGACGGAGUUACAGACACCUGAAGAGAAGCCAGACAACACAUAUUGGACGAUUCAUUUCGAUGGGUCCAGGCAGUUGGAAGGCUCGGGGGCUGGAGUUGUGUUAACUUCUCCUCGAGGUGACAAGUUUUGUUAUGUGUUGCGAUUGAUGUUUCCUUGUACUAACAAUGCAGCAGAAUAUGGGGCCUUGCUCCAUGGUCUUCGAAUGGCUAAAGAGAUGAGUUUAAGACGGGUACGGUGCCUUGGCGACUCAGAUUUGGUGGCUCGGCAGGUGUCAGGCAAGUGGGAUUCCAAGGACCCUCUCAUGGCGGCUUAUCGCCGGGAAGUUGAUGAUGUUGUUGGACAUUUCAAAGGUUAUCAGGUGGAGCACAUUGACCGCAGAAAAAACAAAGCGGCUGAUGCUUUAAGCCGGUUGGGAUCACAGCGUAAGCUGGUGCCACCUAACACUUUUCUAGAUGUUCUUCAAAACCCUUCUGUCAAACUGCCUACAGAGGAAGAUUUGGUCAUUCCAGACCCGGAGGCACAGUUAGUAGCGGCUCUUCAUGUUAUUCCAGAUUGGACAUUACCGUAUUUGGCUUACAUGACCCGGGGUGAGUUGCCAGAGGAUGAGACCUUGGCUCGACAGAUAACCCGACGGUCUAAGUCAAUGACAAUUUCCAAUGGUGAGUUGUAUCAUCGCAGCGUCACUGGAGUGUUUCAACGUUGUGUCUCUCCCGAAGAAGGUCAAGAAAUUCUUCGUGAGAUCCAUGAAGGGGAUUGUGGUCAUCACGCUGGUUCAAAGUCUCUUGUGGCUAAAGCUUUUCGUCAUUGUUUUUACUGGCUAACGGCUCACGCUGAUGCAGAGGAUCUGGUCAGUAGGUGUGAUGGGUGUCAAAAAUUUGCACGACGAGCGCACGUGCCGGCUUAAGAAUUGCGGAUGAUUCCAAUCACUUGGCCGUUUGCAGUCUGGGGGCUUGACAUGGUUGGACCUUUUAAAAGAUCCAAGGAUAAAAAGACACAUCUUUUGGUGGUAGUUCACAAAUUUACAAAAUGGGUUGAGGCAGAGCCGGUUAGUAAGUGUGAUGCAGCCACGAUGGUUCAGUUCAUGAAAAAGGUGAUCUUUCGUUUUGGCUUUCCACAUAGCAUUAUAACUGACAAUGGUACUAAUCUGUCCAAAGGCAACAUGGAGGAGUUUUGUCAAUGUGAGCAUAUCCGGCUUGAUGUUUUGUCUGUAGCUCACCCCCAAUCCAAUGGUCAAGCUGAGAGAGCAAAUCAGGAAAUCCUAAAAGGUCUCAAGCCCGACUUAUGGUUCGUUUACAACGGACGCCGGGUUGUUGGGUGGAGGAAUUACCCUCGGUGCUGUGGAGUAUCAAUACCACUCCUAACAGAUCUACAGGUUAUACACCUUUCUUCAUGGUUUAUGGAGCAGAAGCAGUUCUGCCUAGUGACAUCCGUCAUGACUCACCUCGCGUGGCGGCCUAUGUUGAAGCUGAUAAUGAACAAGCCCGACAGGAUGCACUUGACUUGUUAGAUGAGGAGAGAGAUUUGGCAGUGGCUCAAUCAGCAAUUUAUCAACAAGACUUGCGCCGUUAUCACAGCCGCCGGGUUAAGUCCAGAACCUUUCAAGAAGGUGACCUAGUGCUCCGGCUCAUCCAGGAUCUGUCUGAUGCACACAAGCUAUCCCCGCCUUGGGAAGGACCCUUUGUGGUCAACAAGAACUUAAACAAUGGGUCAUAUUACCUCAUUGAUGUUCGAGAGCACAAAGACCCACGUAAGUCGGAGGAGGAGACCCGCCGGCCGUGGAACAUCGCUCAGCUUCGGCCAUACUACACUUAAACCAUCGGCUCUCAUCAUGUACAUACUUUGACGUUGUAUAUAAUAUGAUAAGUAAUAAAGCAGGACCUCUGUCCUUUUUCCCCUUCAAUGAUCAUAUAUCUUUAUUAUUUUCAUUAUUUAAAAUGACCAUUAGGGGGCUGAUCGUAUCCGAAUCUAGCUUAACCCUUUUGGUCCGGCUCAUGAUCGUAUUCGAAUCUAGCCGUAAAACUCAUGGUCACUUGGGGGCUUCCUGUUCAAACAUAGGUCGUAUUCGAACCAAAGAGAACAUAGCUGUCGUAACCCUCUUGAUCGGCUCAAAGCCAAACUCACUAGGGGGCUUCUUGAUCGUAUCUGAAUCAUAGCUUAACCCCUUUUUGGGUCCAACUUGGAUCGUAUUCGAAUCAGGGUCGUUAAAAACCUCUCAAGGUCAUUUGGGGGCUUCCUAUUCAAACAUAGGUCGUAUUCGAACCAAAGAGAACAUAGCUGUCGGUACCCUCUUGAUCGGCGCAACGCCAAAGCCACUGGGGGCUAUAUGAUCGUAUCCGAAUCUUAGCUUAACCCCUUUGGUCCGGUUUACUGAUCGUAUUCGAAUUAGAAGCCUCCAGUUUUUAUUUAAAUGUUUGAUUUACAUUGUCUGAAGCCUAGUGUUUUAUCUUACUAUUUUUAUCGUCUCAAAUCUAACUGUUAGUAUGGUUUCAAAUUAAACCGGCUUGGCUAUUUGACAAUGUGUCGCCAAGGCAUAACAGUCAUCAGACAUAUGGAAGUAUUGACUUCUAAAAAAGAUUGGGUUAUCAACCUCAUCAUCCGGGUCAUGUAAACCGACAGUCCAUGUUCAAAAACCACAGGUAUGACAGUGUCAUUCAUGAACAGACUUCCCUGGGUUUUUCGUCAGUCAAAGGAUUUUUCAGCCUUGUUUAUCUUACAUCUGGUUCUAUUUUUUCCACUAUGAUAAUUUCAUAAUCAUGUACCGGGUGUUUUGACCCGUCCGGUGCUAAGCCACCGGGACAGUUUUUUUCAUCUUUUACAGGAACAGAGUUAAAACAUUACAGAUGUAACCACGAUGUAAUGCAUAUAUAUAUUGACAUCAUGGGCAAAGAGUCAUAUGAAACAUCUUAUGCACGAUGGCAUAGGCAAAAUAUGCAAUUUUCAAACUAACCUAUUACAAGGCAUUGAGAGCCCAAAAGGUUAAACGGUUUUCUCUCUUAAGCAGGUCUUAAGCUAAAAACUGGAUUGUUCAGAUGGUUAUGACUCCUCCCUGGCCGUUUCACCUCCCUCCACUGGUUGGAAGCUGGGAUUGGACCAGUCAAAGCCGUUCAGAGCAAUGAACUCAGCCUCAUCGUCAAUUAGGCCGGCCGGGUCAAUUUGCAGGGCAAAAGUGUGUUGACGAACCGGCGGGAUAAGAUCCAUCACUUUAUAAGAGGGAGUCGCCAUCUUUUUAUUCUCCAUAUCAAAACCCGACUGAUAUUUUUCGAUGUUGGUCUCCUCACCAAGAAUGGUAGCCUGAGGACGAACUCCCCUCACACAAGCAAUAAAGUCAUCUUGCUCAAACGGAGUCCCGUCUUCCUUCAUGGUAGGGUACCCCUUAGCCACGUCCACCGGGUGUAAAUCGGGCACCCAGGCUUUGGAGCGGCUCAGGGCAGUCAGGGCUCCGACUCUGGCACAAGAUCGUUUGACCUCUUGAAAUCUGGCGGGUAAGAUCGAUAACUUCUUCAAAACAUCACUUAAACGGUUGGGUCCUUGGUUGGCAGGGGAUAUAUAUAGUAGAAAGUGCUCGUUGAGCACCAGUGUACAGUUGCUCCACCAAGGUAUAAACCGCCUUCAGUUUUGUCACACUAUCUUGACUCAGAUAUUUUACUUCGUGGACCUGUGAGUACUUUUUAACAAAGGCUCAGCAGGCGGCUUAUAUUUCUGGUUAAAAUAAAGUAUAAGUGACUAAUGCAAAUGACUUACCAAAGAUGGCGGAGACCAUUUGAUACACACGGUUUUUUAAGCCGGUGAGCUCCAUGGUAACCUCCUCAAGAGUCGCCUCUGCUGUCUUGGCACGUUGUGUCAGCAAGGUCUUCUCAUCGGCCCAGGAUUUCUUCUUCUCAGUCACACUGGUCUUCAAUUUUUCAGUUUUAGAGAGACUCAAUUGGAGUUUGGAGUUAGCAGUCUUUAUCUCCGCUUCUUGAUCCGCCAGCCGGGUCUUUGCAUCCGUCAAUUGAGAUCCCAAUUCAGUUAGGGCGGUCUACAAACAUGCAUAGGUGUGUCAAAAUUUAAACACAAGUUAUAUUGAUUAAAGUCGCGAGUGCUUUGCAACGCAACACCACUUGGCACUUGGGGGCUAAUGUCUGCCAAAGCAAUUUUAUGCAAAAUGACUCUUCUAUGUUUCAAGUCCCAAGUGUUUUACAAAGUAACAACGCUUGGCACUUGGGGGCUAAUGCAUGAUAUUCAGAAAGUUUUUCAAGAUGAGCCGGAUCACACUACUUAUUUGGACUAAUCUAAGACAGUUAUGAAGUUAAGUACCGGGUCAUUUAUGAUAAAUUGAGCCGGCCCUUGGGGACUACAUGUGAAGUUUAUACUAAUCCGUUGAACUUAGGAAAAAUCUAAAGACAAGGUAUCAACCUAUAUCAUAAGUCUACAGAUCAUUCAGGUUCAUCAUAAUCUGAAGACUUGGGGGCUGGCAGAGUAUAUAUAAACCGGAGAACGUACCUCAUAUUCUGUAACAUCCCAAAUUUUCAAUUUGGAAUGUUACACGUUAGGUCAUCAUGCAUAUCAUAUUUUAUUUUUCUUUUGGUUUUGAUCCUAGAAAAUCCUAAGCAACUCAAGGACCCACGGAGAGAGUUGGGGAUUUCAUUAUUUACAUAUUUGAGUUUUCUCAAAUUAUGUAAACAGGAUCAUUUGAUUUUAUUUAUUCUAUCAUCAAUUAUUUCUAUUACAAAAAUAUGAGAGAGGGAAUAAAAUGACUUUUCCAAAAUAUAGAAAUAUUGAGGAUUUAAUAAAAAAUCAAAUAAGUUUUAUUUCGGAGUUUUUUGGUAUUUUUAUUUGAAUUUAGGAAAAAUGCGCGUUUUUCAAAUUGUAGUUUGGGCCCAGAUAAAUGUUCACUUUAUCGGGCUUGAUUUUAGGAACCCGGCAAAAUUUAUUUCGUGAUUUUUGGAGUCCGUUUAGUAUUUCUUUUUAUUUUUCUUCCGAGCGGAUUUAAAAAAAAACUAGAACCGACUCCGUGCCGUAACCGGCCAGGAAACCUCCGCCCGGGGCCUUUAUAUAGCGCCCGAACCGGCCGAGAGAGAGAGAGAGGCCCGAAGCCAGCUAACCCUAACCCUAGCUAAGCCGCCGCCGCCUCCCAGCCGUCGCCGCCCGCCGCUGCCGACUCGCCGGAGCGCGCGCCUUUCGAGGUUCGCCGCCGCCUCGUUUUCCGUGAAGUUUUUUUUUAAAAAAAAAAUCUGUUCGUCGUUUUUCUUUUUCGUCGGAUUUUCCGCGGUUAUUUUCUGAUCGCGAUUUCUGAUCCGGUUUUCGUUUUAGUAUAACUUUUCGCUCGUUUAUCGGAAUCAGGCGAUUCAAGCGCCUGGAGUUUCGUCUCGAAACCCUCUUUCCGAAUAAUCAACUUAAACAAGUUUUUGCUACUGUAAAAUUUGCCCUAGAUCCAGAUUACUAGAAGGAAGUUGUUUUUUUUGCCGUUUGAUUUCUUUCGCUUCGUUCGAUUUGAUUCUUUUGCCAACCAGGGUUCUUAAGUUGAACUUUCUGGUUAGAUCUUCUAUUUGAGUUUUACUUGUGCAUUAGAUGAGUACUUAUUGUAUGCUUGAUGUUUGUCUGUGAUAGAAUACCCGGAGUGCGCCGCCUGUUACUUCGAAUCUCUAGGUUUCGCGGAUCAUCAGCAAGGCAAGUAACACUUUGAUCAUACCUUUUCUACAACCCAGUUUUAUUGCAUUAGAUCAAUCCUCACACAUUGCAUGAUUAGGAUCUAAUUAAAUUGUGGGAUGGGAAGUAGAUGAGGUAGUACCUAUUACCUGUUUAUUAUCAAACCUUUGGGAGUUACUUCUACGUUUGCUUAUGCCAUGUUAUGCCGGUAGACGUGGAUUGGGUGAGUGAUAUCCAUGACAGAUGUGAGAUUUAUAAUUAAGGGUUAUCUAAGGUGGCAACCUAACACACAUCUGGGUGGAUUGAGGCACCUGGGGUUACCAGGACUUGCCUGUUUUCUUUUGGACCGCCACCCAGGCCCAAAGGGAUCAUGAGAUUUUUCAUACUAGAAACUUCCGUGUGCAGCCACAAGCCAUUAUGGGCUCUGGCAUAGUUGACUAAGUUGUGCGAACUCUUACAGUGGUAGACUAGCAGAUGUAGGGGAAAGUAGGUGUACCGGUCUACCCGUCGUAAGGUGCUAGCGCUUCUGAAAGACUGUGUCUCGGUCAUCCGUUUCUCAAACACCUUGUAGUGCGAGAAACCAAACGGAGGUGAUCGAGUCUUGUGGGGAAAAGUGCGCAAACCUCUGCAGAGUGUAACAAACUAAUCAUGGUUAGCCGUGUCCCUGAUUAUGGACAUCUUGAGUAUCUAUUACCUGGAUUAUCAUGUGAAUCUCAACAUGUUACUCUAAAAUUAAUUUUGUGGGAUUUUAAUGAUGUUACUUAAUUGGGAUUGAGGAUGCUGUCAACCAUUCUCAAUGUUUAACAACCACCAUGAUAGUAAUUAAUUUUAUUCCUUUGAAGUAGGGAAAAAUUGGCUUUACGCAAAAACUGUAACCAUAGAGCUUUCCACCAGCCAAAUAUGCAUAUAGUAUAGUUGUUGCAUUCCAUUACUCUCUAUGUGUUACCUUGCCAGCAUAUUCCAUGUGCUGACCCGUUUCGGGCUGCAACGUUAAUGUUGCAGACUUUUCAGAUGACGAUUGAGGAAUUUUAGGUCGUGGUUCUAUACUCAGUGAUGCCGUUGGAGUUGAUGGACUCACUUAUCUUCCAAGCCUUCCGCUGUUAUCGUUAUUAGAUGGCCUUAAGCCAUAUUUAUUGUAAUAAGUUCUCUUUUGAGACACUCGAUGUAAUAAGUGUGUGAUUGCUACUCUGCUAUAAAUCCUCCGAGUACUGUGUGGUGUCAGCAUUACUGAUCCAAGGAUGACAUCGGAGCACAGAGAUCAGACUGUUUAAGGUCUGGUCGCUACAUAUUCCAGUUGCAAUUGCUUGACCAUCUCAAUUUCCGAGUCACGGCUGGAAUGCACAGGACUGAGAUAGCCGGACAGCAUGUCACUAACAUUCAGAUGAGCAUAGUGAGAGAUAUCAAAUUGUACUUUCUGUCUUUCCAAGGCCUCCUGUUUAGCAGAAUGCCUGGCCAGCACAGUCGGAUUACCCGGCGCAACAAAUCUGCUGCCAGUGAUCAAAACGUCAUGGUCAGAAGAUGCUGGCAGGUUAGCUGAACCGGACGGUCUGACGGUGGAUGGAUCGACAAUGGUUUCGUCAGCUGACGGCUCAGGAGGGUCCAAUUGAGCAUGGACAGCUAAAUCUUCUGGCGCUUCAGAUUGAGUGGGAGGAGUUGAUGUUGCCAGUUCAGGUGCAGGAUUUUUUGGGUCCUCUGCCGGUUUAAUCACCUUGGCUUUCUUGGACUUUGCUUGACCGCUAAGAAAGAUUUUUAUGAAAUAGUUAGUAUAAUGAUGCAGUUUUAAAAAUGUAGAGGAAAGAUGAUUUUCCUUACCCAUGGGCAGUCUUGAAAGCCGGAAAUUGAGUUUGGGAUGAGUCGCCAGAAGAGCGAGAGACCUCCUGCAAAGGUAAAAUAAAGUUAAGAAUAUAAGGAAAUAAAUUCAUGGAUAAAAACAAAGGACAAAGGUGAAAGAAACCUCAUUCUGGCGUUUUUGAGGAGUUUUUUCUAAGUCGAAAGGUGGUUCAUCAUCAUCAUUAGUCCGGGCCAGAUGGCGGCUCUCAUGUUGCUGCUUUUUCAAAAGAAAAUGAGGGUCCAAAUAAGCCAAAGGGUGCAAAAACCUUACUUUCCGGGUUACCAGUCGAAGUUUCUGUCUCGGCAAAGGGGCUGAGUCGUAGGAAAUAGUUACCUCUUCUUCCGCGGCCUGGCUGGCCCCCGUGUCAUCCUGGCAAUAGUCAGUGUCAAUAAGAUAGUUGAAAAUUUGGCCAAGGGAGAAAGGGCUACCUCCGACUCAGAAACAUCAUCAAGCUGGAAGAUGUCAGAUGCAGUCUUCUUCUUGGGCUUCCGGGUCGUUCUCUUGGCGGCUACGGCAGCGGAUCUAGCCUUCUUGGUAGCUUCAUGAUCAUACUUGGCCUUCCAGAAGUCAGAUUUGUCCUGUAAACAAAUAAAGAGGUUAAAAGGUCAUGCAAGUAUUUAAACUACUGAGGUAAACACAAAAAGAGAAAAAGGUCAAGAAGUUACCUCUGGUGUCGGGUUAAGUUUGCAGAAGGGGUUUAAUCCAACCUUGCUGUAGUCCUCGUAUUUGCCAUUCACGAGGAUGGUAGACAUUGCAACAAUGUCUUCUUCAGUUAAUUGUACAGAGCUAUAACGCAGAGAAUCAUUUGGGCCUCCGCCAUACUUAUACAUCAACUUGGAUCGGCGGCUUAGAGGGAUGACCCGCCAUGAGAUCCAGCAAUGGAUCAGGUCAACUCCGGUUAAGCCAUUUCCCAAUAAAGCUUGAAUCCUUUUGACAGAUGGGAUAAGCUUCUUGCGUUCAGCAGUAGUAAGCUUGUCAGGGAGCACAAACUUGGAAUCAAGACGCUCUUCACGAUAACCCGGCAGUGGUUUUUCAUCAGCCGGUGAUGUAUCUUGGCAGUAGAACCAGGUUUGCUUCCAGUCUUUGGGAUGGCUCGGUAAGACCACUAAAGGAAAAACGGCACCUUGUCAGCGUUGAAUUGAAAUUCUGCCAAGUUCCAAGCUAAGGCCGUUGGUGCACUCAUUCUGGCGGUUCAAGUAAAAGUACUCUCUAAAGAGCUCCACAGUUGGUUCUUCUUGAAGAUAUACCUCACAAAGAACUUGAAAAUUGCAGAUGUUGGAUAUAGGGUUGGGUCCAAUAUCUUGUGGAUGAAGCUUGAAAAAAUGCAGGACAUCUUGGACGAACUUUGAGCCGGGUGGUGAGAAGCCCCGGUUCAUGUGAUCUGUGAAAACGAUAACUUCGCCGUCUUUGGACUAAGGUCGUUCUUCGUCCGGGUCAGGAGCACGAUAAGACAUAACGCUUUUCUCUGGCAAAAAUCCAAUGGUGACAAAUUAUUUCAAGGUAUCUUCAGUAACUGUGGAAGGCACCCGGUUGCAGACAGUUGGCGCUUUUGACGGCAUGAUGAAGAAAGGGCAAGCUGAAAAGAAAGUAAUUUGCCGGUUCAAUUUAUUGGUGGAGUUACAGGUUCAUGAUUAUAGUACAGAUGAGUAAUGGCGGCUUAAGUAAGGGCUAAUGACAUGUAAAGGAAAAAUAAGCCGGAGUCAUAAGCCGCCAUGACUAAAAAGUAUUUGAAGGUUGCCAGAAUCAAAAUUGACUAAAGUGUUGAGACAAACAGGUUUCCCAAGUUGUGGCUAUUAUUAUGGAUCAAAAUGGUUCAGAAAAUAAAAAUAAAGUUAGACCUAGAAAACGAGCACAGAGGAGUUUGUCAGCUCUAAAGAGGCAUUUAUACAGGAGAAGGGGAUCUGUUAGCUUCAAAAAUGGAUGAGAAAUAGCUACCUCAUAAGUUUUGUACUACUUUUAGAUCAAAAGAGGGUGCGGUAAGAGAAGUUGCAACGAAUCUAUGACGAACAACGAAGAACACAAGAAGGAAACCUCCCGAACCCUAAUGCAGAUCUAUGGGGGUGAGAAGGUGAGAGCUUACAGGUGCGGAGCUGCUGCGGAGGAUCGCCACCGUUCUCUGGAUAGACUCAGGGUGAUGCUGCGGCCAGAGUUGAGGACGACGGUGCGCUACGGUGGCGACGGAGCUCGAGCGGCAAAGAAGGUGCGAGAGGAAGAAGAAAGAGGAAGGACUGGCCGAGCCUAUUUAUAAGGGGGUAAGUGAACGGGCAGACGCAAAAAUUGAGGAAGACCAAAGUAAUGAUUAUCCAGCUAAAUGGACGCCUCGAUCUUCGGAAAACAUUUAAGAUAAGGAUCCGUUGAAGAUGAAAUCGUGGUGUUUUUCCAAAUUUUUUCAAUCCUAAUGGUUGGUUAAUAAAAUAAGCUCAGUGAAUAUACAAGGCGAUAGUUUAUUAUAAGACUUGUAGUAGGCCCAAGCCCAAAGGCGGUUUAAGGCCCAUAAUUGUAAACCGCCAUGUAUAAGAAAGACUUGUAAAGAAAGGCAUGUAAGAGAAGUCACCGAGCCGAACACGUUAUAUGAGCCGGCCGGGACUCUGUAGGCUGCCAGGCGUCAACCCAUGUAUAUAAGGGGAUGACCCGGUGGCUGCUUAGGACAAGUAACAUCAAAUCAAGAGCCAUGCAUAGCGUAUUUGCUCCCUGAUCAUCGAAACCUAGCAAUAUCACAUCAACUGGACUAGGCUUUACCUUCACCGUAAGGGGCCGAACCAGUAUAAACCUUUCGUGUCCUUUGUCCCGAUUAACCCCUUUAAGCUUCCUAGUUGCGAUGGCUCCACGGCUAAGUCCUUUCACUAGGACAUCAUCCGUGACAAUUCCACGACAACUCUGGUGCGGAUCUUACUAUGGUUGACCUACGAGGUUCAGCGGUAACUUGAUCUGAAGUUUCAUGAUCAUCAUCAUUAGCUUCCUCACUAAUUGGUGUAGGAAUCACUGGAACUAAUUUCUGUGAUGAACUACUUACCAAUUCGGGAGCAGGUACAAUUGCCUCAUCAAGUUCUACUUUCCUCCCACUCACUUCUUUCGAGAGAAAGUCCUUCUCUAGAAAGGAUCCUUUCUUAGCAACGAAUAUAUUGCCUUCGGAUCUGUGAUAGAAGGUGUACCCAACAGUCUCCUUUGGGUAUCCUAUGAAGACACAUUUCUAUGAUUUGGGUUCGAGCUUAUCAGGUUGAAGCUUUUUCACAUAAGCAUCACAGCCCCAAACUUUAAGAAACGACAACUUAGGUUUCUUGCCAAACCACAGUUCAUAUGGUAUCAUCUCAACGGAUUUAGAUGGUGCCCUAUUUAAAGUGAAUGCAGUCUGAAAGUGCGUUAUAUCGACUAGAGGGGGGGUGAAUAGGCGAUUUUUAUGAAAGUCUUCAAAACAUGGAAGUUUCGAAGACAAACGAUAGAAAUAAACCUAUUACCAUGCAGUGGAAGUUAGACUACACUAGAUAAACCGUAGUCAUGUAUUCAAUGAAGUGAAAGGACAAUGACUAAUAGUAGCUAGGUAGUAAGGAUCAGGCAGGAAGAUAUUAAGAAGCCAAACGGAUCACACAGUCACUCAGUGAAGACAAAAGAUAGAGAAAACAUACAAUGACUUCACACAGAGUAACAGUAAGUAAAGAGAAGGGAAGGAUGAAACCAGUGACUCGUUGAAGACAAAGAUUUGUUGGACCAGUUCCAGUUGCUGUGACAACUGUACGUCUGGUUAGGGCGGCUAGGUAUUUAAACCAAAGGACACACAGUCCCGGACACCCAGUCCUGAACACGCAGCUCAGGACAUCCAGUCCUCACCGUAUUCCCCUUGAGCUAAGGUCACACAGACCUCGCCCAAUCACUCUGGUAAGUCUUCAAGGUAGACUCCCAAACCUUCACAGACUUCGUUCACCGGCAAUCCACAAUGUCUCUUGGAUGCUCAGAACGCGAUGCCUAACCAGCUGGAGGAUGCACAGUCCUCAAGUGUAAUAAGUCUUCAGAUCACUCAGACAAGAAGACUUAAGUGAUGCCUAAUUCUCUUUCGCUCUGGGUGGUUAGGGCUUUAUCCUCGCAAGGAAUUCUCUCUCAAAGGCUUCGAGGUGGGUUGCUCUCAAACGACAAAAGCCGUACUUUGAAUCUGAGUAGCCAACCGUUUAUGGUUGUAGGGGGUGGGCUAUUUAUAGCCACUAGGCAACCCGACCUGAUUUGUCCGAAAUGACCCUGGGUCACUAAGGAACUAACAUGUGUUCCAACGGUCAAAUUUCAAACUCACACGGAAACUUUACUUGGGCUACAAGCAAAGCUGACUUGUCCGACUCUGGACAAGAUUUUCUCUCAUAGUCUUCACUCGAAGACAUAGGUUUUUGUUUAAGCAUCACUUUAGUCAUUCUGACUGGCUCUCUUGGACCCCACUUAACAGUAUGUUGGUUCCUAUGACUCAACACAGAAGAAAAAGAACUACGAAAAAUCUAAGUGUUCAAGCUCCAUAGGCUUCAUGCGGUGUCUUCUCUUGUCAUAGUCUUCAAUGUGAAUAUCUUCAUAUACCACCUUUGACAUCAAUGUCUUCAUACACUUUUAGGGGUCAUCUCUGGUGGGAAAACCGAAUCAAUGAGGUACUUCUACCUGUGUUAUCCUGCAAUUCUCACAAACACAUUAGUCCCUCAACUAGGUUUGUCGUCAAUACUCCAAAACCAACUAGGGGUGGCACUAGAUGCACUUACAAUCUCCCCCCUUUUGGUGAUUGAUGACAAACUAGUUGAAGUUUUCAACGGGGAAUAUAAUGUGUGAAAUUGUAAAGGAUAAGGAAUUGUCUUCAUAAGUUACAAGGGCUCCCCCUGAAGAUGUGCAUAUAAGUAAUUUGCUUUUGGAAUGCAAAUGCACAUGGCAGGUUGUGCUUGUGGAGAUCCACUUCAACUUAUGAUGACAAUCCACUAUGCAUGUGAAAGUAUGUGAAGAUAAUGACAUGCAUAAUGGAAAAUGGAUGUCUGCAGAAUGAUCUAAGUGCGGAAUCUAUCAUCGCACAUGCGGAAUUUAUCAUCACAACACAAGGUAGCAAAUAGGUAGCAGACGACCAUCAAGUUUAAGUGUUACAACUCAAAGAACCAAAUGUUUCAAAACGAGAGUUGUAAGCACGAAGCAAAAUAUAAAACACCCGCCCAUAUGGACCCAUUUGAAGACUAUCAAACUCAUAUGCUUCUCCCCCUUUUGACAGUAAGGACCAAAAAGGUUUGAAGACAUAGAGCCUCUACUCGUUCCCAUGAGGAGUAGGUGAAGCAGCAGGAUCGUUGAUGGUGUUUGGCAGUGCAGACGAGCUUGGAGCAGUGUCGACGUGUGCUGAAGGAGGCGGCGAAGAAGUAGCAUCGUCUUCAUCCUCGAUCACUCUGGCAUUCACGGUUGCAGUAGAGGAAGAGAACUCAGGGUCUUCAAGUGAUGGAGUUCGUCGCAGCACAGCCCUGCGAGGAGGUGUGGAGUCAAACUUGAAGCGCUCAGUGAAGCCAUCCUCUUGCAGAUCAUCUUCAGAACACAGCAGCGUCAGCCCUUUCCAUGUGCGUCGAGAUGUUUCAUGAGCAACAAAGGCGUUCUUGGUGGCAAGAUUGUGAAUGCGAUUAACAUCCACCAAGAGGCUUUGCAUUUGACGCUUUAGCCAGUCAUGAUGCCUAUCCUGUUUCUGAUGAAGGGCCACCAGAAGCUCUCGGUCAUUGAGGACACGAGUGCGCUUCUUGGGUCGUUGAGCAAUGGUGCUAUCAGUGGCUUCAGUAAGAGCAGGAUGCGGGGCACGGGUAGUGCCAGCCAAAGGAUACACACGUGUUACUGCUUCAAUGCCUUCAACGUUCCGAGAGAAACUUUGAUGCUCUGCAUUCUGAAGACUUAGAGGUUCCUUGGCAGGCUCAGGAUAUAUGGCUUCAAUAGACAUAUCCACAUCAGGCAAAAAGAUCCGAUGAUUGCGGGCAGAUGGCUGAUAUGAGAUAGCAGAGUGAAGUUUGAUCAGCCGCAUCACCCAAGGGGCGUAGAACUUCAACCCAAAUAGAUCAGAGCCAGAUGCAGCAAGUUGGCGAAUGAAGAAAUCCUAUGUAUUGAAGCAUUUUCCAUGAAGAAUAUAGAAGACCAAAGUCUUCAUUGCACCUUCCAGCUGGGCAUGGGGAGAAUGUCCUUUGAUUGGCCAGAGAGUUCGCCUUAUGAUAUGAUAAAUGGUCCUUGGCAGAUACUCAAGGUCUUCAACAAAGAACUCCGUGGGAUAAGCAGCAUCUUGGGGCAAUGGCUUCAUCAUACUGAGCAUCUGACUCAUAUUGGGUUCAGUCUUCUGAAAGAUGCUCUCAACAGCUUCAAUGUGAAGCUGACAGCCAUGCUCAUAGAGAUCGCCAGGAGUGGGCAAGCCAGUGAGCUCAAUGAUGUCAAAGACUUUGGCUUCGUGAUGAACAUUUCCAGUCAUCCACUCUAGGACCCAAGUCUUUGGAUCUCUGUUAUACCCGCGGAUGUGAAGUGUGGCAUAGAACUGGAGCAGCAACUCUUCAUUCCAAUGCUCUUGGUCAGUGACGAAUGGUAGCAGCCCAACUUCAUUGAAGCAAUCCAAAGCUUCUUCCAGACAGGCAGACCAGCUAUAGCUUCAAUGUCAAGGCGCUUGUGUGGGAAGAUGCGACCUUUGUUGUAAAGAAUGCAUGAGUAAUAGCUUCGCUGCUGAUAGCUCCAGAACCGAUCAGAUGAUAUUCUUUCCCUGGAGUAGGGGUUCCUGGAGCUAUUGAAGAAUGUGUUGUCUGCUCUGAAGCCAUUGAUGUUAAAGGAGCCAGGUGCUAAUGCAGGACCUGGGAACCUGGGCAAUCUUGGGAUUGGCUUCUGGACCUGAGGCCUGUGCUCAACAUGAUAGUCGAAUUGGGGACCGGCAGCAGACGCAGGAACAGGAGCAGCAGGAUUAGUGGCUUCGCUGACUUCUGGUGCUGUUGGGGGUGAGGGCUCCACAUUAGCUUCAGCCAUGACGGUGUCAGUGGCUUCAGUGGUGUUGGUGGUGGCAGCCUCUAGAUUUUCAACCUCCACUUGACGAGCUGGAGGGUCGGUCAUGAUCACGUUCUCCUCGAGAACCGCUUCUUGGUGGGGCAGGGGAGUAGCAGCUUGUGGAACUUCUUCUUCCGUGGCUGAUGCAGCUAGAUUGUCUUCAGCAGAGACUUGAGGCCUUGGACCUUUGUGAAGCCUGCGCAACGCGGGCGAUGCCUGUGGAGCUGGAGUGGGCUGGGCCUCAUAGUCUUCUUCCUCUUGUUGGCGAUCCGCCCAUGAAGCAUCCUGUGCCAUUGGCGUCAGUGGACGACCAAUGCUGAUGAGUUCGUUGUUUUCAAGCUGAGGAAGAACUGCACCAUCUUCUACAUGGUCAUGUUGACCAAUGUCUUCAGCAGUGAUGGGAUCAGCUGUUGGAAAGUCUUUAGCUUUAUGAGCCUCUGUGGAAGCAGGCUCAUGGAUUGUCAGUUGGCGUUCAGCUUCAGGAUAGACCAUUGAAAUAGGUUCAACUAUCAAAGGCUCUGUGGGAGCAGCCUGUUCCUUCUUGGUCUUUCGUUUCUUCUUGGAGGGGGCAGUAGGAGAGGCUUCAGGAUGUUUCCUCUUCCUGGCUUCAGCCUCAGCAGUCCUUGUCUUCUUGAGCUCUGAAGCGGUUGACCGGCUUUUUGGCUUCAAGCCAGUCAGUCUAGUUGGGAAGACAAUCGGAACUGCUUCCUGCCUUGGUGCGUCGGAUUCAGCCGUAGCAGUCUUCUUCUUCUUCUUUGCGGCCAUCCUAGGGUCAAUGCCAGGACGCCCAAGGGCCUUGCGCUUCUCAGCCUCAUUGUAGGCUUGCACACAUCUGUCAGCCAGAGCCUUCAUGCGCUCACGUGAAUCCCGAGCUUCUGCACAUUUCUUCAGAAAGGCUUCCUUGAGCUCGUGCAUCAUGAUCUUGAAGUUCUUCACUUCUUGCACACUGAGCUUGGCCAUAUGCUUCUUGAACUGAGCCUUUUCAUAGUCAAUCUUCUGCUUUAGUUCAACAACGUGUCGGGCGAUGGCUAGCUCUGAAGCAAUGGCGCCUUGGAAGGCGACACUGAGGCCAAUGGGUAGCUGCAGAUCAUCAAAGCUGAUGUUUGGCAUAUCAAACCACUCGUCAAUGAAGUUGUGGAUGAUGGUUACAUCAAAGAGAGGCAGAUCAUUGAAGAUUUCGGCUUCUUCUUUGCUCUUGAUGAGUUGCUCAAGAGCGUCAUCUGCAAGAUCUUCAUCACUUGACAGAUCAAUGUCAUCAUUGCGCAGAAUGGCAGCAGCUGUUAGCUCUUGGCCGGUGUGUGGCAGAGGCAUCUUGGCCUUCUAGGGCUUGGAGAUGCGUGAUAAAUCUUCGGACUGCACACUGUCUUCAGGAGAUGCAGUUGCCAGUGGCUUCGCCCUUGAGAUUUUUGGUGAAGGGGCAGGCUUUGAAGCUUUGGGCUUCUUCAACUUCUUUGGUGUUGGCGCUGCAGGCGCUUCAUCUGAUUCAGCGUUAGCUGCAGGCUCAUUCACGGUUGUCCCUUGAACCAAGAUAUGGGUGAUGAGUCCUGCAAGGUUGUAGAAAGGACCGACGACAUUGGGUUCCGCAUCGCGUGUGCCGUCAGCCCUUGGAGCAGAAGGACCAGGGUUGAAGUCUAAUCCAAAAGACUUCUUGUUCUGCUUUGCUGAGUUCUUGGCAAACUGGAAGUUGCGCUUGAAUAGAUUGUCGUCACGGCACCAUAGUAGUGACGAUGGGUGUGCAUCUGCAGGCUGUGGCCCACGCACCAUGCAGGGAUAGAAGCCUUGUUCAAUGGCUUCUUCUCUGGACCUGGGUUGAAGAUUCUUGUAUAGGAUGUCUCCCCAUGGUCUCUUGAUGGCAUUUCUCUCAGCAUAUUCCUGGGUCACAAACCGGUAUUUGAACCAUUGUUCUGCCCAAUAUCUUCGAAUCCAUUGGAUUCGGGUCUUGCGCUGAUUAUAAUCCUGUUCAGGAUCUGUCUUGUAAAGCUCUGAGAGGUCAUCAGGAAAAUCUCUUGAUGUCCCCCCACGACGCUGUCUGCCACCCUUCCUUACUGAUUUCUCUGCAGCCAUGAACUUCAAACUGAAAGGCUUCAAAACGUUCAAAGGCUUCAAAGGUUUUCGCUUGCUGGACAAACAGGAACUGGCUUCGGGAGAAUUUAUAUGAUGCUGUAAGAAUUCUGCAAAUGAAUGCAGACUAUGAGAACCAAGGGAUUCUCCCAUGGACAUGUACCUGUGACAACAUUAAGGUGCAAGGGAAGGGGAAGAGGUCAUAUGCAUUCUCAGGAGAUUUUGAAGAUAAAUCAGUUUAGAAGACAUUGACCUCAUCGUGCGAAGACAUUCACUCAUAGAUAAGGAGUUGGUUCCAGAUUUGUACGAAUCCAGUGAUCAGUACAAGUGAGGAAUCUAACUACUUGUGAAGCAUAAGUGAAUAUACUAGGCAUGUUAUGAGAUGCAGUAGGAAAGAGAUCCAACUUGUGUGAAUAGAAACUUCUUAUGGUAGAAAGUGACAAAGCCAUAGGAUCAAAAGGGGCCGUAAAAAGAAGUUUUAUUUACCACACUUGGAACUGCUAGAUGGAGUGGAAGAGGAGGCCGAGCAGUUCGAUCUUCUGUGCCCUAACUUGGCGACGAAGGACACCUACGGCGACGGCGGAGAGGACGAUGUCCGCGGUCGGUGUGAAGACGGCGUCGGAGAGGUUGCGGCAGUGAAGCGCUUCGUCGCCGGCGUCGUCGAGGGCUAGCAGUGGCACUAGGGUUCGUGCGAGGGUGGAAGAAGAGAUGAUGACCGCUGUGAAGGGUGUAUUUAUAGGUACAGGGGCGGCACUGCGUUAUUACACAGGUGCCCCUGGCGAUUCACAUCUGAGGAACACGUGGCCAUCAUGCAGUAUAUUGGGGUUUGUUCCACGUCUCACGCACGCCUAGAUUGUCGGGUGGUCGUUCCUACUUCUCCGGGUUUCAUGUGGAGGAAUGGGCAUUGAAAACGGACUUAAUGUUUGUCUCUGUAUGUUCUGCUGACAAGGACGCAGAGAAGACAUUCGACAGUUUCAAUAGAAUGCAUAUGAUUUGGAGAGAUAGAGUUUGAGAUAGAGAGCACAGAGAGGUUAGGGUCCGAUCACAUUCACUUAGAUCAAAAGAUUCAACAAGAAGACAUAGCUAUAAGUGAAUACUGUAGAGGACAGAACACUAGUAUAUAUAUAUAUAUAUAAUCAACAUAGUGAAGAUAAUCAUGAAAACAUGUUGAGAUUGAAACCAAACCAAAUGUGAAGUCAUAGCAAGGUAAUGCCAUGAGUGAAACACUUCAAAUAGAACAUUUGGUGGUGGCGUUACCCACCGUAUAGGAAGUAUUAGACCCAGACACGGCGCACAAUUAUCGUGGCGCUCCGAAGUCAAAUUCCACAUUAAUGUAUUCACACUUAGAAUGUAUGUCUUCAUUGAUUGAAGAUAUACUUUACUUCGUGUGUUGCACAUCUAAGUCAUCAAUAUGCAUAAGGGUUAGGAUGUGUGCCUGAUCACAGGACAUUUGAGGAUUCCAGGAUAUUUAGCUCACAUCGUAACUUGCAAAAUCUCUUCUCAUCCAAGGGCUUGGUGAAGAUAUCUGCCAAUUGCUCUUCAGUGUUGACGUGUAUGAUAUCAAUAUCUUCCUUCACAACAUGAUCUCUGAGAAAGUGAUGACGAAUUUCAAUGUGCUUUGUCUUCGAGUGCUGAACAGGGUUGUUGGCAAUCUUGAUGGCGCUUUCGUUGUCACAGUAGAGUGGCACUUGCUUCAGAUGAAUGCCAUAGUCCUUGAGGGUUUGCUUCAUCCACAGAAGCUGAGCGCAGCAAGAUCCAGCAGCAAUGUAUUCAGAUUCAGCAGUGGAGAGAGAUACACAGUUCUGCUUCUUUGAAGACCAACAUACAGGUGAUCGUCCCAGAAAAUGACAUGUGCCUGAUGUAGACUUGCGAUCCACCUUGUCACCAGCAUAAUCAGCAUCCGAGAAUCCAACCAGAUCAAACUCUGAGCCCUUUGGAUACCAUAAUCCUAGAGUUGGGGUGUGAGCCAAAUAUCGAAGAAUUCGCUUCACAGCUAGGUGAUGCGACUCCUUUGGUGCCGCUUGAAAUCGAGCACACAUGCAAACACUAAGCAUAAUAUCUGGCCUAGAUGCACAUAGAUAAAGCAAAGAACCAAUCAUGGAGCGGUAUACCUUUUGAUCGAACUCUUUACCAUUGUCGUCAGGACCCAGAUGAUGCUUGGCUGGUAUUGGCGUCGUGAACCCUUUGCAGUCUUGCAUACCGAACUUCUUAAGGCAAUCCUUGAGAUGCUUCUCUUGAGAUAUGAAGAUGCCGUUGCGUUGCUGUCGUAUUUGAAUACCGAGGAAAAACUUCAGCUCUCCAUCAUGGACAUCUGAUAUUGCUCUUGCAUCAUAUAUCCAAACUCUUCACUGUACUUCUGAUUGGUGCAGCCGAAGAUAAUGUCAUCCACAUAUAUUUGGCACACAAACAGUUAACCAUCAUAUGUCUUCGUGAAGAGAGUGGGGUCGAGGGAACCAGGUAUGAAGCCUUUGCUCUUCAGGAAGUAUUUGAGUGUGUCAUACCAGGCCCGAGGGGCUUGUUUGAGGCCAUAUAGUGCCUUGUUGAGCUUGUAUACCGUAUCAGGAUGUUUUAGAUCUUCAGAGCCAGGUGGUUGUGCAACAUACACUUCUUCUUCAAUCUUUCCAUUGAGAAAGGCGCUCUUCACAUCCAUUUGAUAAAGAAGUAUGUUGUGAUGAUUUGCAUAGGCCAGCAGUAUGCGUAUGGCUUCAAGUCUAGCCACAGGAGCAAAUGUUUCAUUGAAGUCAAUGCCUUCCACUUGAGUAUAUCCUUGAGCAACUAGACGAGCUUUGUUUCUGACAACUUGACCAUGCUCAUCUUGCUUGUUGCGGUAUAUCCAUUUUGUGCCUAUUAUGUUGUGCUUCCGAGGAUCAGGACGCUUAACCAGUUCCCAUACAUUAUUCAGCUCAAACCGUUGAAGCUCUUCUUGCAUAGCUUGAAUCCAUUCAGGUUCCAUGAAGGCUUCUUCCACUUUCUUGGGUUCUGUUAUUGAGACGAAUGCGAAGUGCCCACAGAAAUUUGCCAGCUGGGUUGCCCUUGAUCGACUGAGCGGACCAGGUGCAUUGAUGCUGUCAAUUAUUCUCUCAAUUUGCACUUCAUUGGCAACACGAGGAUGUACAGGGCGAAGACUUUGCUCUUGCUGAUCAUUGUCGUUGUUGGAGGGAUUGUCUUCAGGUUGAGCAUUGUCUUCAGGUUGAUCUGGUGCAGAGAUGAUGAGUUCCUCUUCAGGAUGAGCUUUAGAAGGUAUGAUUUCUCCAGUUCCCAUUAGCUUGAUUGAUUCACUGGAUGGAACUUCAUCUAGCACAUUUGGCAGGUGCUCUCUUUGUGAACCGUUAGUCUCAUCGAACCGCACAUCCACGGUUUCAACCACUUUAUAAUGAAAGAGGUUGAAGACUCUGUAGGAGUGCGAAUCCUUUCCAUAUCCAAGCAUAAAACCCUCAUGUGCUUUUGGGGCAAACUUUGAAGUGUGAUGUGGGUCCUUGAUCCAGCACCUUGCGCCAAAUACUCUGAAGUAACUGGCAUUUGGCUUCUUGCCAGUGAGGAGCUCAUACGAUGUCUUGUUCAGAAGCUUGUGAAGAUAAACACGAUUGAUUGUAUGGCAUGCAGUAUCAAUGGCUUCAGGCCAGAAUUUUCUUGGAGUCUUGUAUUCAUCUAGCAUUGUUCUGGCCAUCUCAAUGAGUGUUCUGUUCUUGCAUUCGACGACGCCAUUCUGCUGUGGCGUGUACGGGGCUGAGAAUUCAUGUGUGAUGCCCAAGGUAUCAAGAUAUGUAUCAAGGCCAGUGUUCUUGAAUUCAGUGCCAUUGUCACUUUUGAUGUGCUUUAUCUUGGCACCAUAGUUGUUCAUUGCUCGAUUGGCGAAGCGUUUGAAGACAUCCUGCACUUCAGUCUUGUAAAGGAUUAUAUGCACCCAAGUGUAUCUAGAAUAAUCAUCAAUAAUGAAGAAGCCAUAGAGACAAGCAGUAGUAGUAAGAGUUGAGUAAUGAGUGGGACCGAAAAGAUCCAUGUGAAGCAGCUCGAAGGGUCGAGUAGUAGUCAUGAUUGUCUUCGAGGGAUGCUUGGCCCUCGUCAUCUUUCCUGCUUCACAGGCACCGCAUAAGUGAUCUUUCUUGAACUUGACGCCCUCAAUGCCUAUGACAUGCUUCUUCUUUGCCAGGGUGUGGAGGUUCCUCAUGCCAGCAUGCCCAAGCCUCCGAUGCCAGAGCCAGCAUUCUGAAGCUUUUGCUAGAAGACAUACGGCAAGUUGUGGUCCUGCUGAGAAAUCUACCACGUACAGAUCGUCUUUCCGAUACCCUUCAAACACUAGAGACUUGUCAGAUUCCAUUAGAACAAGGCAACAAUAUUUUCCAAAUAUUACGAUCAUGUUCAAAUCGCAUAGCAUUGAGACAGACAUUAAGUUGAAGCCAAGGGAUUCAACAAGCAUGACUUUAUCCAUGUGUUGAUCCUUUGAGAUUGCAACUCUACCUAGACCCAAUACCUUACUUUUACCAGUGUCAGCAAAUGUGAUGUGGCUCUUGUCGGAAGGACGUAAGGUUGAGUCCAUCAGAAGGCUUCUUUUGCCAGUCAUGUGAUUUGUACACCCACUAUCAGUAAUCCAUUCUGUAUACGCUGGUGUCGUACCCUACAGUGCAGUUAGGGGGAUAGGCUUCACGAAGAGAGUUGUGAAGCAAAAACAUUUGACGAACCAGUGGGUUAUGAAAGCUUAGAUCCAGAUUAGUACUGAUAGGGAGAGUAGCAAGCGAUUCAGGAACGAAGUACAUAGUAAGACCAUUCGGCAUUUGAUCUUGCGCCCUACAAGAUGUUUAAGGUCCCCAGCGAUAGCGUCAGAAGAUUUUGGUUUUCUGCUGGAGACCUUUCCCUGCAAAAGAGAGUUAAGCCUUCUUAACAACCCACAUCUUCAAGGGUGGCUUAGAAGCGAUAAGUCUAAGUGCAGAGUCUGAAAACUUUGGCUUUGGGGCUCUAGCAAAAAGUCUUGCAGGUGGACAAUAAUACUCAUAAGAAUAAGCAGAAUAGUUUUUGGUCUUAUGAACAUGGCGGUUCGAUGAACCGCGCUCAUAUUCAUAGGCCUGAGUAUGGUUUCCCUGCAAAACAUUUGCAUUAGUCCGACUCAGGUGAGUCCUCUGUCUGUAUGAAGCCUUUGGGCCAUAUGAAGCCUGUGGUCUGGGGUUUGUCUUCUUCAUCUAUGGUGUCAUGAUGACAUUCACAGGAAGAUUUUCCAAACACCUUUUGGGCACCCAGACCUUCUUCAUAGGCGGUCCAUUCCUGCAGUUAGUACCAAUGUACCUGGCAAAAACUUCACCAUUCUGAUUCUUAAAUAGUUUAUAGUUUGCAUCAAAGGAUUCAUCAAUGACAAUGGGGUUAGCACAAGUGAAGCCAGAUAGACUGGAUGGAUUUGCUGAAGGUUCCUUUGCAGCAACCCAUGUGGUUUUGGGAUACUGCUCGGGUUUCUAGUAAGAGCCAUCAGCAUUCAUUUUCCUUAUGAACCCAACACCCUCUUUCCUCGGGUUUCGGUUCAGAAUCUGCCUUUUGAGGACAUCACAUAGUGUCUGAUGCCCUUUAAGACUUUUGUACAUCCCUGUUUCAAGCAAUGUCUUCAACCUAGCAUUCUCAUCAGCAAUCGCAGUAGUAUCCUCAGUAGAGGGGUUAGUUACCACAUCAACAGUUGAAGAUAUUGCAACAGUAGCAGUAGUAGAACAUUCAGCAACAGAAGCAGCAUUAUCACGCUCAAUGCAUUUAAGACAUGGUGGUUCAAAUCCUUCCUGAGCGGAACUGAUCUGUUCGGCGCGAAGUGACUCGUUUUCCUUUUGAAGAUCUUCAUGAGCCGCUCUCAAUUUCUCAAGAUCUUGCUUCCUUUGAAGAUAAUCAUAGGAAAGCUUUUCAUGAGUUGUUGAGAGCGUUUCAUGACAACUUUCAAGUUCCUCAUAUUUAACGUGAAGAUUUUUUAUGUCUUGAAUUAAGGAUUCAGAUCGAGUCAUUUCAACGCCCAACAAAUCAUCGCUUUUGUCUAACAGUUUUUGAAUAUGUUCCAUGGCUUUCUGUUGUUCAGUUGCAAUUUUAGCAAGUGUUUUGUAGCUGGGUCUUGAAUCACAAUCAGAGUCAUCAUCACUAGAUGUUUGAUAGUGAGUAGUGCGUGUGUUUACCUUGGCACCGUGUGCCAUGAAGCAGUAGGUAGGAGCAGAGUCGUCCUUGUCAUUUGCAUCGGCGUCGGUGGUGAAGUCAUUGUCUUCAGUGUUGAAGAUGGACUUGGCAACGUAUGCUGUAGCCAGACUUGCAACACCAGAAUCGGACUCCUCCUCAGACUCCACCUCCGCCUCCUCAGACGCGGACUCCUCCUCUGAAUCCAUUUCCUUGCCAACAAACGCACGUGCCUUGCCAGAUGAGCUCUUCUUGUGUGAUGAAGACUUUGAGGAAGACUUGGAAGAAGACUUUGAGUAUUUCUUCUUCUUCUUGUCGUCAGAGUCAUAUUCCUUGCUCUUCUUCUUCUUUCUAUUCUCAUUGUCCCACUGCGGACACUCAGAGAUGAAGUGGCUAGUUUUCUUGCACUUGUGACAUGUUUUCUUCUUGUAGUCAUGAGCAGAAGCUUCAUCAUUCCUUGAGCUUGAUCGUGAAGACUUUCUGAAGCCUUUCUUCUUGGGGAAUCUUUGGAACUUCUUUACAAGCAUAGCAAGUUCCUUUCCAAUGUCUUCAGGAUCGUCAGAACUGCUGUCAGAUUCUUCUUCAGAUGAGGAGACAACUUUUGCCUUCAGGGCACGAGUUCGCCCAUAGUUUGGACCGUAGAUAUCUCUUUUCUCAGAAAGCUGAAACUCAUGUGUGUUGAGCCUCUCAAGUAUGUCGGACGGAUCGAGUAUCUUGAAAUCAGGUCGUUCUUGAAUCAUCAGGGCUAGGGUGUCAAACAAACUGUCAAGUGAUCUCAGUAGUGUCUUGACGACUUCAUGCUUGGUGAUCUCAGUGGCGCCGAGCGCUUGAAGCUCAUUUGUGAUGUCAGUGAGUCGGUCAAAUGUGAGCUGGACAUUCUCAUUGUCAUUUCGCUUGAAGCGGUUAAAGAGGUUGCGAAGAACGCUGAUUCUCUGAUCUCUCUGGGUUGAGACGCCUUCGUUGACCUUGGAGAGCUAGUCCCAGACCAGCUUCGAUGUUUCCAAAGUGCUCACACGGCCAUACUGUCCUUUGGUCAGAUGACCACAGAUAAUGUUCUUGGCAGUAGAGUCCAGUUGAACGAACUUCUUGACAUCAGCAACAGUGACACCUUCUCCAGCCUUGGGAACGCCGUUCUUGACGACAUACCAUAGGUCGACGUCAAUGGCUUCAAGAUGCAUGCGCAUCUUAUUCUUCCAGUAGGGAUAUUCAGUUCCAUCGAAGACGGGGCACGCAACGGAGACUUUAAUUAUCCCUGCAGUCGACAUAGCUAAAACUCCAGGUGGUUAAACCGAAUCACACAGAACAAGGGAGCACCUUGCUCUCAUACCAAUUGAAAGUGCAUUAUAUCGACUAGAGGGGGUGACUAGGCGAUUUUUAUGAAAGUCUUAAAAACAUGGAAGUUUCGAAGACAAAUGAUAGAAAUAAACCUAUUACCAUGCAGCGGAAGUUAGACUACACUAGAUAAACCAUAGUCAUGUAUUCAAUGAAGUGAAAGGACAAUGACUAAUAGUAGCUAGGUAGUAAGGAUCAGGCAGGAAGAUAUUAAGAAGCCAAACGGAUCACACAGUCACUCAGUGAAGACAAAAGAUAGAGCAAACAUACAAUGACUUCACACAGAGUAACAGUAAGUAAAGAGAAGGGAAGGAUGAAACCAGUGACUCGUUGAAGACAAAUAUUUGUUGGACCAGUUCCAGUUGCUGUGACAACUGUACGUCUGGUUAGGGCGGCUAGGUAUUUAAACCAAAGGACACAUAGUCCCGGACACCCAGUCCUGAACACGCAGCUCAGGACACCCAGUCCUCACAGUAUUCCCCUUGAGCUAAGGUCACACAGACCUCGCCCAAUCACUCUGGUAAGUCUUCAAGGUAGACUCCCAAACCUUCACAGACUUCGUUCACCGGCAAUCCACAAUGUCUCUUGGAUGCUAUAACGCGACGCCUAACUGGCUGGAGGAUGCACAGUCCUCAAGUGUAAUAAGUCUUCAUAUCACUCAGACAAGAAGACUUAAGUGAUGCCUAAUUCUCUUUGGCUCUGGGUGGUUAGGGCUUUAUCCUCGCAAGGAAUUCUCUCUCAAAGGCUUCGAGGUGGGUUGCUCUCAAACGACAAAAGCCGUACUCUGAAUCCGAGCAGCCAACCGUUUAUGGUUGUAGGGGGUGGGCUAUUUAUAGCCACUAGGCAACCCGACAUGAUUUGUCCGAAAUGACCCUGGGUCACUAAGGAACUGACACGUGUUCCAACGGUCAGAUUUCAAACUCACACGGCAACUUUACUUGGGCUACAAGCAAAGCUGACUUGUCCGACUCUGGACAAGAUUUGCUCUCAUAGUCUUCACUCGAAGACAUAGGUUUUUGUUUAAGCAUCACUUCAGUCAUUCUGACUGGUUCUCUUGGACCCCACUUAACAGUGCGGUGGUUCCUAUGACUCAACACAGAAGAAAAAGAACUACGAAAGAUCUAAGUCUUCGAGCUCCAUAGGCUUCAUGCAGUGUCUUCUCUUGUCAUAGUCUUCAAUGUGAAUAUCUUCAUAUACCACCUUUGACAUCAAUGUCUUCAUACAUUUUUAGGGGUCAUCUCUGGUGGGAAAACCAAAUCAAUGAGGUACUUCUACCUGUGUUAUCCUGCAAUUCUCAUAAACACAUUAGUCCCUCAACUAGGUUUGUCGUCAAUACUCCAAAACCAACUAGGGGUGGCACUAGAUGCACUUACACAGUCGUCUCUAAAGCAUAACCCCAAAAUGAUAGCAGUAAAUUAGUAAGAGACAUCAUAGAUCGCACCAUAUCUAAUAAAGUGCGGUUACGAUGUUCGGACACACCAUUAUGUUGUGGUGUUCCGUGUGGCGUGAGUUGCGAAACUGUUCUGCAUUGUUUCAAAUGAAGACCAAACACGUAACUCAAAUAUUCACCUCCACGAUCAGAUUGUAGAAACUUUAUUUUCUUGUUACGAUAUUUUUCCUCUUCACUCUGAAUUUUUUUGAACUUUUCAAAUGUUUCAGACUUAUGUUUCAUCAAGUAGAUAUACCCAUAUCUGCUCAAAUCAUCUGUGAAGGUCAGAAAAUAACAAUACCCGCCGCGAGCCUCAACACUCAUCGGACCGCAUACAUCCGUAUGUAUUAUUUCCAACAAGUCUAUUGCUCACUCCAUUGUUCCGGAGAAUGGAGUCUUAGUCAUCUUGCCCAUGAGGCAUGGUUCGCAAGCAUCAAGUGAUUCAUAAUCAAGUGAUUCCAAAAGUCCAUCAGCAUGGAGUUUCUUCAUGCGCUUUACACCAAUAUGACCUAAACGGCAGUGCCACAAAUAAGUUGCACUAUCAUUAUUAACCUUGCAUCUUUUGGCUUCAAUAUUAUGAAUAUGUGUGUCACUAUUGUCGAGAUUCAAUAAAAAUAGAUCACUCAUCAAGGGUGCAUGACCAUAAAAGAUAUUACUCAUAUAAAUAGAACAACCAUUAUUCUCUGAUUUAAAUGAAUAUCCGUCUCGCAUCAAACAAGAUCCAGAUAUAAUGUUCAUGCUUAACGUUGGCACCAAAUAACAAUUAUUCAGGUCUAAAACUAAUCCCGAUGGUAGAUGUAGAGGUAGCAUGCUGACGGCGAUCACAUCGACUUUGGAACCAUUUCCCACGCGCAUCGUCACCUCGUCCUUAGCCAAUCUUCGCUUAAUCCGUAGCCCAUGUUUCGAGUUGCAAAUAUGAGCAACAGAACCAGUAUCAAAUACCUAGGCGCUACUACGAGCAUUAGUAAGGUACACAUUAAUAACAUGUAUAUCAAAUAUACCUUUCACUUUGCCAUCCUUCUUAUCCAUCAAAUACUUGGGGUAGUUCCGCUUCCAAUGACCAGUCCCUUUGUAGUAGAAGCAUUCAGUCUCCGGCUUAGGUCCAGACUUGGGCUUCUUCACUUGAGCAACAACUUGCUUGUCAUUCUUCUUGAAGUUCCCCUUCUUCCCUUUGCCCUUUUUCUUGAUACUGGUGGUCUUGUUGACCAUCAACACUUGAUGCUCCUUCUUGAUUUCUACCUCUACAGCCUUUAGCAUUGCGAAGAGCUCGGGAAUUGUCUUAUCCAUCCCUUGCAUAUUAUAGUUCAUCAUGAAGCUUUUGUAGCUUGGUGGCAGUGAUUGAAGAACUCUGUCAAUGACACUAUCAUCAGGAAGAUUAACUCCUAGUUGAGUCAAGUGGUUGUGGUACCUGGACAUUUUGAGUAUAUGUUCACUAACAAAACUAUUCUCCUCCAUCUUACAGCUGUAGAACUUAUUGGAGACUUCAUAUCUCUCAAUCCGGGCAUUUGCUUGAAAAUUUUACUUCGACUCCUGGAACAUCUCAUAUGCUCCAUGAUGUUCAAAACGUUGUUGAAGUCCCGAUUCUAAGCCGUAAAGCAUGGCACACUAAACUAUCGAGUAGUCAUCGGCUUUGCUCUACCAGACGUUCAUAAUGUCCGGUGUUGCUUGAUACGUCUCCGUCGUAUCUACUUUUCCAAACACUUUUGUCCUUGUUUUGGACUCUAACUUGCAUGAUUUGAAUGGAACUAACCCGGACUGACGCUGUUUUCAGCAGAAUUACCAUGGUGUUAUUUAUGUGUAGAAAUAAAAGUUCUCGGAAUGACCUGAAACUUCAGGGAACGUCUUUUUGGAAAUAAUAAAAAAUCCUUGCAAAAGAUGAAGACCAGGGGGCCCACACCCUAGCCACGAGGGUGGGGGCGCGCCUGCCCCCCUAGGCGCGACCCCUACCUUGUGGGCCCCCUGGAGCUCCUCCGACCUCAACUCCAACUCUAUAUAUUUGCUUUCAGGGAGAAAAAAAUUAGAGAGAAGGAUUCAUCGCGUUUUACAAUACAGAGCCGCCGCCAAGCCCUAAAACCUCUCAGGAGGGCUGAUCUGGAGUCCGUUCGGGGCUCCGGAGAGGGGAAUCCGUCGCCAUCGUCAUCAUCAACCUUCCUCCAUCACCAAUUUCAUGAUGCUCACCGCCGUGCGUGAGUAAUUCCAUCAUAGGCUUGCUGGACGGUGAUGGGUUGGAUGAUAUUUAUCAUGUAAUCGAGUUAGUUUUGUUAGGGUUUGAUCCCUAGUAUCCACUAUGUUGUGAGAUUGAUGUUGCUAUGACUUUGCUAUGCUUAAUGCUUGUCACUAGGGCCCGAGUGCCAUGAUUUCAGAUCUGAACCUAUUAUGUUUUCAUCAAUAUAUGAGUGUUCUUGAUCCUAUCUUGCAAGUCUAUAGUCACCUACUAUGUGUUAUGAUCUGGCAACCCCGAGGUGACAAUAAUAGGGACCACUCCCGGUGAUGACCGUAGUUUGAGGAGUUCAUGUAUUCAUUAUGUGUUAAUGCUUUGGUCUGGUACUCUAUUAAAAGGAGGCCUUAAUAUCCCUUAGUUUCCGCUAGGACCCCGCUGCCACGGGAGGGUAGGACAAAAGAUGUCAUGCAAGUUCUUUUCCAUAAGCACGUAUGACUAUAUUCGAAAUACAUGCCUACAUUACAUUGAUGAAUUGGAGCUAGUUUUGUGUCACCCUAGGUUAUGACUGUUACAUGAUGAACCGCAUCCGGCGUAAUUCUCUAUCACCGAUCCAUUGCCUACGAGCUUUCCAUAUAUUGUUCUUCACUUAUUUACUUUUCCGUUGCUAUUGCUAUCAUCACUACAAAAUACCAAAAACAUUAAUUUUGCUAUCGUUACCUUUUGCUACCGUUACCACUACUAUCAUAUUACGUUGCUACUAAACACUUUACUACAGAUAUUAAGUUUCUAGGUGUGGUUGAAUUGACAACUCAACUUUCAACUGCUAAUACUUGAUAAUAUUCUUUGGCUCCCCUUGUGUCGAAUCAAUAAAUUUGGGUUGAAUACUCUACCCUCGAAAACUGUUGCGAUCCCCUAUACUUGUGGGUUAUCAAGACUAUUUUCUGGCGUCGUUGCCGGGGAGCAUAGCUCUAUUCUUUGAGUCACUUGGGAUUUAUAUCUGUUUAUCAUUAUGAAGAACUUGAGAGAUCCAAAAACCAAGAUUUAUCUCUCAACUACGAGGGGAGGUAAGGAACUGCCAUCUAGCUCUGCACUUGAUUCACCUUCUAUUUUGAGUAAGCUUGCGACACCUAAACCUGCUUCUGCUAUUCAUUCUGAUAUGUCGCAUGUUAUUAAUGAUGCCACUUGUGCUAUGCAUGAUACUUAUGAUGAAACUACUUCUAUGCUUGAUACUACUGUGCCACUUGGUGAAUUUCUUGAUGAACAACUUGCUAGGGUUAGAGAGAAUGAAAUUAUUGAAACUGAUAAUAUAUAUAUAUAUAUUUGAAUAUAUACUGUAGGGUAAAACCCCCACAGCCCUUUAUUGCAGUCUCAAAAAACAAACUGUACAGUGAAAGAAAGAGAUGACAAGCCUAAACGAAAAGUUAAGAAGAACUUACAAUUACAUGAGGGAGUUAACUCAAUCUACAAGCCUAGACUUAGAGCUAUCCUUAAACCUAUGUGACAGGAGAAGAAUGUCAUGUACAAAACUGCCCCUCCAGGCAACAAAAGUAGCCCGUAGUCCCCUGAAAGUUCUUCCAUUUCUCAGAAUCCAUAUAUUCCAAGCAGCUGUGAGCAUAACUUCAAAGAAGAAAGGAUACCCAAAUCGCUGCCUUGCUUGAGAUAUACAUUGCUGAAUAGAAGAACCAUGUGACCAAUCGAUCUGCAGGUAUUUCCAAACCCUGGCACUGAAAUUACAACCAAAGAAUAGGUGAGCCCUGUCCUCCCAAACAAAGGCAUUACAGAUGACACAUAGAUGAUCAGCCGUAGGGGACCUCCGGUGGCUGCGGACCAGCACGUCCUUUGUGUUGAGUCUGUCAAAGAAUAGGAGCCAGCCAAAAACCUUAAUUUUCAUAGUACAUAUGCUCUGCCAAAGCCACCUGCAGGGUUUAAUAGUUGGGAGGUGUGUAUGCAUGAUGUCAUAGAAGCUCUUUGCAGAAAACUGUCCAGAUUUACCAGGCCAAAUCCAAACAUCAGGCAAUGUUGGAUCUCUCUGGAGAUUGAACAUCCUUCCUUCCAAGGAUUCCAAUUCUGCUGCUGCCUGCUGAGAAAUUGGCAGAUGAAACAUUGAGAACAAAUCCUGGGUUUGCAAAAACUCCCUGACAGAAACCUUAUCAUCCAAAACAAAAGAGAAAAGCCUUGGUAAUCUGAGGCUUAGUGGCCUUGAAGAGCCACCUACAUGGCAAGCAUCCAGCCAAAAGAGAGCAGAAUCACCCAUAUUAACUGGCACUGAAGCAAUUGACCUAUAAGUGUCAGCAAGCUUGAGAAUGUCCUUCCACCAAAAGGAGCCAGUUAGGACUGUUGCAUGGGGCACCACUCCAUCAUAAUAACUAUCCCAAAUCAACUGGACCCAAGGAAUCUGCUGUUUGUUGUAGAACUUAUGCAUUUGUUUGAGAAGCAGACCUUGAUUUUGAACAUUGAGGUUGAGAAUGCCAAGUCCUCCCUUAUCCUUUGGUCUGCAAACUAAAUCACAGGCAGCUAGGGAUUGCUUAGGCACAUCAGAAUUUCCUCUCCACAAACACUGCCUGAAAAUCCUAUCCAACUGUUUGAUAAUACCAGGUGGGAUAUGCAAGCUGCAGAGGAAGUAUAUGGGCAUUGAAGUAAGCACAGAUGUGAGAAAUUGUAACCUGGAUCCUUGGUUGAGCAUGGCAGAGCUAACAGACAGUCUUCUUUCAAGACUAUCCACUAAAGGCAUGAAAUCAAUGAUUCUAGGUCUUGUUGUACCAAGAGGCAAACCCAGAUAUGUGAAAGGUAACUGCUCCGGUUUACAUCCCAGGAUGGAAGACAACCUCUGUGCCUCUGUGGGAUCAACAUUUAGUGGCACCAUUGAAGACUUUCCAAAAUUUACCUUUAGGCCAGUAGACUGUUGGAAAAUAUGGAGCAUGUUCUUGAGAGCCACCAACUGGUCCUGUACUGCAGAAAGGAUAAUUAUUGUGUCAUCUGCAUACUGAAUGAUAGGAAAUUCAGGGUCCUAAGAUGGGAUUGGAAGUGUUAGAACUCCCUUAGCCAGCAUGUUAUUGACCAUUGUUUGAAGAAGAUCGGCAGCUAUGACAAAUAAAAGAGGGGAUAGGGGAUCCCCCUGCCUGACCCCACAUUUAUAUUUGAACUGUUUGCCAGGCACCCCAUUAAGCAAAACAGAUGAUGAUCCUGAGGAGAGAAUCUCUUUAAUCCAAGAAAUCCAUUUGGCAUCAAAACCUUUGUGCUGUAGAACUUGCAAGAUGAAGUCAUGCUCCACAGUGUCAAAAGCUUUGGCAAAAUCCAAUUUCAAAAUGAUGGUUGGCCUUUUGGAUUGAUUGCAUUGAUGUAUAUAUUCAAAAGCCCAAGCCAGGCAGUCCUGAAUGGCUCUGCUCUUCAAAAACCCAUAUUGAUUCUUAUGGAUGCAUUGCAGAAUGACCUUUUGAAGCCUAUUUCCCAAAAGCUUAGUAAGGAACUUGAGGCAUGUGUUAGUAAGAGAGAUUGGUCUAAAAUCCUCAAGUCCUUCAGGAGACAACAUCUUUGGAAUUAAGGUGAUAAGGGAUCCAUUAAUAUUUUCCAAAGAUAGCCUCCCAUCAUAAAACCCCUGAAUGAGAGCCAAGAAAUCCUUCUCAAUGAUGGGCCAACACUUCUUAACAAAAAGACCAUUAAAACCGUGAAAGUGAUGAUGAAGAUUCUCCCCCUAAUAAAUAUGAAUUGCCUGUUGUGCCUGAGGGCUAUGUUAUGGAUGAAGAAAUUGCUAAAGCUAUUUUUGUUUGCAAAGAUAGAUAUGAUCUUAAGAAGUUAUUAGCUAAAUGGAAGCAGCAAUCUCUUAAUGCUAGAAUGAAACCUGACCCUGCUUUUGCUACUUCACCUAUCUGUGUUACUGAUAAGGAUUAUGAAUUCUCUGUUGAUCCUGAUAUAAUUACUUUGGUUGAAUCUGAUCCUUUUCAUGGCUAUGAGUCUAAAACUGUUGUGGCACAUCUUACUAAAUUAAAUGAUAUAGCCACCCUAUUCACUAAUGAUGAGAGAACUCGUUACUUUUAUAUCCUUAAAAUAUUCCUGUUCUCAUUAAAGGGUGAUGCUAAGAUAUGGUUUAAUUCUCUUGAUCCUGGUUGUGUGCGUAGUCCCCAGGAUAUGAUUUAUUACUUCUCUGCUAAAUAUUUCACUGCUCAUAAGAAACAAGCUGCUUUGAGGGAUAUAUAUAAUUUUGUGCAAAUUGAAGAAGAGAGUCUCCCACAAGCUUGGGGGAGGCUUCUCCAAUUACUUAAUGCUUUGCCUGAUCAUCCUCUUAAGAAAAAUGAAAUAUUGGAUAUAUUUUAUAAUGGACUAAGUGAUGCUUCCAGAGAUUACCUGGAUAGUUGUGUUGGUUCUGUUUUCAAGGAAAGAACACCGGAUGAAGCUGAAAUUCUAUUGAAUAAUAUGUUGACAAAAGAAAAUAAUUGGACACUUCCUGAGCCAGCUCCUGAGCCUAUUCCUAAACCAACUCCGAAGAAGAGGGGUAUUCUAUUUCUCAGUCCUGAAGAUAUGCAAGAGGCAAAGAAAUCCAUGAAAGAAAAGGGUAUUAAAGCUGAAGAUGUUAAGAAUUUACCUCCUAUUGAAGAAAUACACGGUCUUAAUUUACCGCCUGUUGAAGAAACAUAUGAUCUUAAUCCAUUACCUAUUGAAGAAAUACAUGGUCUUGAUAACCCGACACAAGUAGUAAAGGUAAACUCUCUCUAUAGAUAUGAUAAAAUUGAAAUCCCUCUUACUAAGUUUGCUAGCCAAUGCUUAGAUGAGUUUGAUAAUUUUAUGGUGAAGCAAGAAGAUUUUAAUUCUUAUUUUGGUAGACAAUUGAAAUACAAUUCAAAUAUGCUUGAACACUUGGGUGAUUAUAUGGCUAAUGUUAAAGGUGAAAUUAAACUUAUUAGCAAACAUGCUUCUAUGGUUACCACUCAAGUAGAACAAGUACUUAAAGCUCAAAAUGAUUUGCUCAAUGAACUGAAUAGUAAGAAUAAUGAUAAUGCUGUUAGAGUUAUGACUAGAGGUGGUAAAAUGACUCAAGAACCUUUGUAUCCUGAAGGCCAUCAUAAGAGAAUUGAGCAAGAUUCUCGGAGAAAUAAUAUAGAUGCACCUAGUUCUUCUAAAAGGAAGAAAAAGAAAAAUGAUAGGACUUUGCAUGCUUCUAGUGAACCUAUUGAUGAAACACCUGAGAAUCCAAAUGAUAUUUCUAUUUCUGAUGCUGAAACACAAUCUGGUAAUGAACCUGAAACUAGUGAUAAUAUUAAUGAUAAUGUUCAUGUUGAUGCUCAACCUAGCAAUGAUAAUGAUAUAGAAAUUGAACCUGUUGUUGAUCUUGAUAACCCACAAUCAAAGAAUCAACGUUAUGAUAAGAGAGACUUUGUUGCUAGGAAACAUGGUAAGGAAAGAGAGCCUUGGGUUCAGAAACCCAUGCCUUUUCCUCCCAAACCAUCCAAGAAAAAGGAUGAUGAGGAUUUUGAGCACUUUGCUGAAAUGAUUAGACCUACCUUUUUGCGUAUGCGAUUAACUGAUAUGCUUAAAAUGAAUCCUUAUGCUAAGUACAUGAAAGAAAUUGUUACUAAUAAAAGAAAGAUACCGGAAGCUGAAAUUUCCACCAUGCUUGCUAAUUAUACUUUUAAAGGUGGAAUACCUAAGAAACUAGGAGAUCCCGGAGUACCAACUAUACCAUGCUCCAUUAAAAGAAAUUAUGUUAAAAUUGCUUUAUGUGAUCUUGGAGUCGGUGUUAGUGUUAUGCCUCUCUCUUUAUAUCAUAGACUUGAUUUGAAUAAGUUGACACCUACUAAAAUAUCUUUGCAAAUGGCUGAUAAAUCAACUGCUAUACCUAUCGGUAUUUGUGAGGAUGUGCCUGCUGUGGUUGCAAACGUUACUAUUUUAAUGGACUUUGUUAUUCUUGAUAUUCCCGAGGACGAUAGUAUGUCUAUUAUUCUUGGAAGACCCUUUUUGAAUACUGCAGGGGCUGUUAUUGAUUGCAACAAAGGCAAUGUCACUUUUCAUGUUAAUGGUAAUGAGCAUACGGUACACUUUCCGAGGAAACAACCUCAAGUCCACAGUAUCAAUUCUAUUGGAAAAAUUCAAUCGAUUAUUUUUGAAGGUUUUGAAUUUCCUCUUCCUACUGUCAAAAGAAAUAUGAUAUUCUUAUUAUUGGGGAUGUGCAUAUCCCCGUUGAGGUAACAUAGUGUUAUUCGAAAUUCCUCCGGUUCCAUGUUAUUCGGAAUGAGUUUGCUAACAAGACUUGAUCAACCAUGUUAACGGAUUCCUUUUGAUGAGCAUGAGAUGGAUGAAACUAGAAGGCACAACUCUCCGUACCCUCCUUUUACUUUCUGUUAUUUAUAUUAAAUAAAAUUAAAAGAAGUAUUUUCCGUCUGUUAUCUGAUUUAUCCGUGCAAUAUAAAAUACCCCGAAAAUAAAAGUUCUCCAAAUGCCUUGAAAUUUAAAUAUGAUUUUUUCUGGAAUAUUUGAGAAUAUUUGGCACUAAGAACACAACACAGGGGGCAUCCACCUGGCCACGAGAGUGGAGGGCGCGCCCUACCCCCCCUGUGCGUGCCCCUUGCCUCGUGGGCCCACGGUGGCCCUCCUCCACUUAUUCCUGCACCCACACACUCCUUCCUCCCAUAAACACGAUUAUCCAGUUCGAACCCAAGUCCAAGCUCAUUUUGCUGCUAUUUUCGAUCUCCUUGCUCAAAGCACCUCUCACAAAACUGCUUGGGGGGAUUGUUCCUUGGUAUGCGACUCCUCCAUUGGUCCAAUUAGUUUUUGUUCUAGUGCUUUAUUCAUUGCAAAUUUAUGUUGUCUAGGUGCCCAUGUUCCUGAGCUUGCAUGUCAAAUUUAUGUGGUUCCAACUAGUUUUGAUGCAUGAUAUAGGCUCUAGGCACUUGUAGGAGUUGUUGCUAUCAAUUUUGUUGAGCUUGGCUCACUUUUAUUUGAAGUUACUAAAAAUUUCAGAAUUUUUCAGAAAAUAAUGAAGAGAUUUUUGAGGGGCUCAUCAAGCCGAAGCUCGAAGGAAAAGCAAAAUGAAAAAGCAGAGAGGCCCGAAUAUAAUCUGCCUCGCACCGCAGAGGUUCGGCCGUGUGAAUGGCCUUCCAAUGAUUUCUUGAGAGCAGUCGGGAUUUAUGAUGAUUUUUAUGAAUUGGCUGAGAAUGUAGGCCUCACCGCCUUCCUCCAUGACCAACGCGAACAAUAUCUCUUACUCACCAAUAUCUUUGUGCAAAACUUUCAUUUCCAUGCUAGGAGCUCACCACCUACGGUGGAGUUUUAUUUGUAUGAUGAGCACAAGGAGAUGUCACUUUACGAUUUCUGUCGGGUUUGAUUGAUCCCUUUCGAGGGCACAAUAGAGGAACCACACCGCGGUGAUGUGGAUGGGUUUAUAGAUACCAUCACUGUAGGGGAAACGAGGAAGGUUUCCGAUGCACGAAUCACUAGCAUACAUUUUCCUGUUUUACGCUACUUUGCAAUAUUUGCUAGUCGUUGCUUAAUUGGUCGCGAAAACUGUGGAAACCUUAGUGUUCCUGAUAUUAUUAUUUUGUUCCACGGUUUAUUCUGUGAUAAAUCUGUUAGUAUGGGCGGUAUUAUUGCUAAACGGUUAAGUCUCAACUGUACAAAGGGCCCCAUCUUUGGAGGCAUCUAUGCUUCACGCCUAACUGCGCAUUUUAACAUACCUAUUAAGCAUUAUGAGAAGGAAGAAAAAUUGCUGCCCCUGUUUAUUUAGAUUAUAAGAGUAUGGUGGCACACGAUUUUAUUGUUAAGAAUAGGAAAGGGGAGCUUAAAUACAAAUUGUUCUUUGAUAAACAUCAUCCUGAGACUAUUACCCUGCCUACUCCUUCCUUGUUUGAUUUAUCUCCAGGCAAGUACCUUGUUCCGUUAGAGGCUAUUCACGCCUACCGGAACAUUGCAUCAGCCACAGAGCCAGAGUCGGAACCACUAGUUGAUCCUCCACGACAGUCUAAUUACCAUUGGGAUCCAGAAAUGAUAGCCACCAGUGGAAAUCAGAGUCUUCUUCGCAGUACGACCCCAACUAUUACUAUGGAUAUCCGCCAGGCCAGCCGUGGCCAUAGACCAACUUAGGUCAAAAGCCUAAACUUGGGGGAGUACGUAUUUCCCGCCGACAUUACAUUCAUGUUCGCACACUCAUUGCUAGAUGUCGGUGCUCAUACUUUUUCAUUGUAUCAUCCAUGCUAGUUCAUUUCCUUUUUAAGCUUUCUUCUUGUGUGUUUAAUAAACCUUAAGAAAAACCAAAAAAACUAGUUGUAGCUUUUAGCUAGUUUUAAUUUCCAUGCUUGUAGUAGUAAUUAAAAAGAAAACCCAAAAAAAGAUUUCUUGUUCUUGUUUUGCUCGUUGGGAGCUUUCCCGUGUAAAUAGUUUUAUUUCUUUUCUUUGGGGGUCGAUAGGAGAAUACCAUGAUUAAAUUGUUGAAGUGGCUCUUAUAUAUAUUUUUUAUCUGACAAAAGAGCCCAUAUUGCCUUGUCUUCUCCAGUUUAUUGAAUGCUUGCAGAUUCCAGCUUAGUCCAAUGCACGCGCACUAUUAUUAUUAUCCACAUCGUUCGGUCGUGCAAGUGAAAGGCAAUUAUGACAAUAUAUGAUGGACUGACUGAGAUGAGAAAAGCUGGUAUAAACUCAACCUCUCUUGUUUUUGUAAAUAUGAUUAGUUCAUCGUUCCUGAUUCAGCCUAUUAUGAAUAAACAUGUUUGCAAUGACAACUAGAGAUCAUAGUUUCUUGUGCCAUGCUUGAUUAGCUAGGAGCUUAUAAUGGUUUACCUUGCGUGCCAACAUGCUAUUAAAAUGGUUGUGAUGUGGUAUGAUAGGGUGGUAUCCUCCUCUGAAUGAUUUGAGUGGCUUGACUUGGCACAUGCUCACGCAUGUAGUUGAAAUAAAAUCAACAUAUCCUCUACGAUAUUUAUGUUCAUGGGGAAUUAUAUCCUACUCAUGCUUGCAUUUGGUGUUGAUUAAUUUUAAUGCAUGUUUAUGAGUGUUGUCGCUCUCUAGCUGGUUGCUUCCCAGUCUUUUGCUAGCCUUCACCUGUACUAAGCGGGAAUACUGCUUGUGCAUCCAAUCCCAUAAACCCCAAAGUUAUUCCAUAUGAGUCCACCAUACCUACCUAUUUACGGUAUCUACCUGCCGUUCCAAGUAAAUUUGUAUGUGCCAAACUCUAAACCUUCAAAUAAAUAUCAUGUUUUGUAUGCUCGAAUAGCUCAUGUAUCAACUAGGGCUGUCUGUAUCUUCCAUGUUAGGCGGGUUAUUCUCAAGAGGAGUGGACUCCGCUCCUCACUCACGAGAAAAUGGCUGGUCACCGGGAUGCCCAGUCCCAUGCUUUAUGCAAAUCAAAUCAAAAUAAUUGCAAACAAAACUCUCCCUAGGACUCUUGUUAGUUGGAGGCACUCGUUGUUUUGAGCAAGCCAUGGAUUGAUGCUUGUUAGUGGAAGGGGAGUAUAAACUUUACCAUUCUGUUUGGGAACCGCCUAUAAUGUGUGUAGCAUAGAAUAUAUCGCCCUCUCUUGGUUGUUAUGUUGACAAUGAAAGUAUACUGCUCAAAAUAUUAUUCACCUCUAUUUCAAAACCGAGCUCUGGCACCUCUACAAAUCCCUGCUUCCCUCUGCGAAGGGCCUAUCUAUUUACUUUUAUGUUGACUCAUCAUCCUCUUAUUAAAAAUCACAAGUUGGAGAGCACCGCUGUCAUUUGCAUUCAUUACUGUUAGUUUACAUUGAGUAUGACUGGACUGGAUCUCUUUUACCAUGAAUUACAAUGUCUAGUCAGUCCUUGAUCUUUAAAGGUGCUCUGCAUUUAUGUUUUGCGGUCUCAGAAAGGGCUAGCGAGAUACCAUCUUGUUAUAUCAUAUCAUGAUUGUUUUGAGAAAGUGUUGUCAUCUGAGAUUUAUUAUAUUGCUCGCUAGUUGAUUAUGCCAUUGAUAUGAGUAAACAUGAGACCUAAAUGUUAUUGUGAAUAUGGUUAGUUCAUAAUCUUUGCUGAAAACUUGAAUGCUGGCUCUACAUAUUUACAACAACAAGAGCAAACAGAGUUUGUAAAAGUUUUUCUUUAUCACUUUCAGCUUAUCAACUGAACUGCUUGAGGACAAGCAAAGGUUUAAGCUUUGGGCAGUUGAUACGUCUUCGUCGUAUCUACUUUUCCAAACACUUUUGCCCUUGUUUUGGACUCUAACUUGCAUGAUUUGAAUGGAACUAGCCCGGACUUACGCUGUUUUCAGCAGAAUUGCCAUGGUGUUAUUUUUGUGCAGAUAUAAAAGUUCUCGGAAUGACCCGAAAAUCAACGGAGAAUUAUUUUGGAAUACAUAAAUAAUACUGGAAGGAAGAUCCACGUCAGGGGGGCCUCCACCUGUCCACGAGGGUGGGGGCGCGCCCUACCCCCCUGGUGCUACCUCUUGAGCACUGCGUUGGUUUUCCCUUGAAGAGGAAAGGGUGAUGCAGUAAAGUAGCGUAAGUAUUCCCCUCAGUUUUUGAGAACCAAGGUAUCAAUCCAGUAGGAGAUCACGCUCGAGUCCCACGCACCUACACAACCAAAUAAGAACCUCGCAACCAACGCGAUAAAGGGGUUGUCAAUCCCUUCACGGUCACUUACGAGAGUGAGAUCUGAUAGAUAUGGUAAGAUAAUAUUUUGGUAUUUUUAUGAUAAAGAGAAAUAAAGAUGCAAAGAAAAAUAAACGGCAAUAGAAAUAACUAAGUAUCACCUGGGCGCACCCCCUGCCUCGUGGGCCCCCUGACGCUCCACCAACCUCAACCCUGACUUCAUAUAUUCACUUUCGGGGAGAAAAAACCAGAGAGAAAGAUUCAUCACAUUUUACGAUACGGAGCCGCCGCCAAGCCCUAAACUCUCUCGGGAGGGCUGAUCUGGAGUCCGUUCGGGGCUCCGAAGAGGGGAAUCCAUCGCCAUCAUCAUCAUCAACCUUCCUCCAUCACCAAUUUCAUGAUGCUCACCGUCGUGCGUGCAUAAUUCCAUCGUAGGCUUGCUGGACGGUGAUGGGUUGGAUGAGAUUUAUCAUGUAAUCGAGUUAGUUUUGUUAGGGUUUGAUCCCUAGUAUCCACUAUGUUCUGAGAUUGAUGUUGCUAUGACUUUGCUAUGCUUAAUGCUUGUCACUAGGGCCCGAGUGCCAUGAUUUCAGAUCUGAACCUAUUAUGUUAUCAUCAAUAUAUGAGCGUUCUUGAUCCUAUCUUGCAAGUCUAUAGUCACCUACUAUGUGUUAUGAUCCGGCAACCCCGAAGUGACAAUAAUCGGGACCACUCCUGGUGAUGACCGUAGUUUGAGGAGUUCAUGUAUUCACUAUGUGUUAAUGCUUUGGUCCGGUACUCUAUUAAAAGGAGGCCUUAAUAUCCCUUAGUUUCUGCUAGGACCCCGCUUCCACGGGAGGGUAGGACAAAAGAUGUCAUGCAAGUUCUUUUCCAUAAGCACGUAUGACUAUAUUCGGAAUACAUGCCUACAUUACAUUAAUGAAUUGGAGCUAGUUCUAUGUCACCCUAGGUUAUGAUUGUUACAUGAUGAACCGCAUCCGACAUAAUUCUCUAUCACUGAUCCAUUGCCUACGAGCUUUCCAUAUAUUGUUCUUCGCUUAUUUACUUUUCCAUUGCUAUUGCUAUCAUCACUACAAAAUACCAAAAACAUUACUUUUGCUAUCGUUACCUUUUGCUGCCGUUACCACUACUAUCAUAUUACUUUGCUACUAAACACUUUGCUGCAGAUAUUAAGUUUCCAGGUGUGGUUGAAUUGACAAGUCAGCUGCUAAUAGUUGAGAAUAUUCUUUGGCUCCCCUUGUGUUGAAUCAAUAAAUUUGGGUUGAAUACUCUACCCUUGAAAACUGUUGCGAUCCCCUAUACUUGUGGGUUAUCAUUGCUCCUGCAGCGGGUCUUGCACAUAGCGGUGCUUCCAGGACGUAAUUCUUCUGUGUAGCAAUGAGGAUAAUCCUCAAGUUACGGACCUAGUCCAUGUAGUUGCUACCAUCAUCUUUCAACUUAGGUUUCUCUACGAACGCAUUAAAAUUCAAAGGGACAUUAGCACGGGCCAUUGAUCUACAACAACAUAGACAUGCAAACUACUAUCAGGUGCUAAGUUCAUGAUAAAUUAAAGUUCAAUUAAUCAUAUUACUUAAGAACUCCCACUUAGAUAGACAUCCCUCUAGUCAUCUAAAUGAUCACGUGAUCCAUAUCAACUAAACCAUGUCCGAUCAUCUCGUGAGAUGGAGUAGUUUCAAUGGUGAACAUCACUAUGUUGAUCAUAUCUACUAUAUGAUUCACGCUCGACCUUUCGGUCUCAGUGUUCCGAGGCCAUAUCUGCAUAUGCUAGGCUCGUCAAGUUUAACCCGAGUAUUCUGCGUGUGCAAAACUGGCUUGCACCCGUUGUAUGUGAACGUAGAGCUUAUCACACCCGGUUAUCACGUGGUGUCUCGGCACGACGAACUAUAGCAAUGGUGCAUACUCAGAGAGAACACUUGUACCUUGAAAUUUAGUGAGAGAUCAUCUUAUAAUGCUACCGCCGUACUAAGCAAAAUAAGAUGCAUAAAGGAUAAACAUCACAUGCAAUCAAAAUAAGUGAUAUGAUAUGGCCAUCAUCAUCUUGUGCCUUUGAUCUCCAUCUCCAAAGAACCGUUAUGAUCACCAUCAUCACCGGCUUGACACCUUGAUCUCCAUCGUAGCAUCGUUGUCAUCUCGCCAACUAUUGCUUCUACGACUAUCGCUACCACUUAGUGAUAACGUAAAGCAAUUACAUGGCGAUUGCAUUUCAUACAAUAAAGCGACAACCAUAAGGCUCCUGCCAGUUGCCGAUAACUUUUACAAAACAUGAUCAUCUCAUACAACAACUUAUAUAUCAUCACGCAAAAACAAGUUAGACGUCCUCUACUUUGUUGUUGCAAGUUUUACGUGGCUGCUACAGGCUUCUAGCAAGAACCGUUCUUAUCUACGCAUCAAAACCACAAUGAUUUUUCAUCAAGUGUGUUGUUUUAACCUUCAACAAGGACCGGGCGUAGUCAAACUCGAUUCAACUAAAGUUGGAGAAACAGACACCCAGUAGCCACCUGUGUGUGAAGCACCUCGAUGGAACCAGUCUCAUGAACGCGGUCAUGUAAUGUCGGCCUGAGCUGCUUCAUCCAACAAUACCGCCAAAUCAAAGUAAGACGUUGCUGGUAAGAAGUAUGACUAUUAUCGUCCACAACUCAUUGUGUUCUACUCGUGCAUAUAACAUCUACGCAUAGACCUGGCUCGGAUGUCAUUGUUGGGGAACGUAGUAUUUCAAAAAAAAUCAUACGAUCACGCAAGAUAUAUCUAGGAGAAGCAUAGCAAUGAGCGGGGAGAGUGUGUUCACGUACCCUCGUAGACCGAAAGCGGAAGCGUUUAGUAACACGGUUGAUGUAGUCGAACGUCUUUGCGAUCCAAUCGAUCCAAACACCAAACGUACGACACCUCCGCGUUCAGCACACGUUCAGCUUGAUGACAUCCCUCGAGCUCUUGAUCCAGUUGAGGCCGAGGGAUAGUUCCGUCAGCACGAUGGCGUGGCGACGGUGAUGAUGAAGUUACCGGCGCAGGGCUUCGCCUAAGAACUACGACGAUAUGACCGAGGUGUGUAACUGUGGAGGGGGGCAACGCCCACGGCUAAGAGAAACUUGUGUCUUUGGGGUGCCCCCCUCCCACGUAUAUAAAUGGGGGGAGGAGGCCGGCCCAAAGGGGGGCGCGCCACAUGUUGGGGGUCCUACUAGGACUCCCUAGUCCUAGUAGGAUUCCCCUCUCCUUUCCUUUUACGGAAGGGGGAAAGGGGGGAAGGAGAGGAGGGGAAGAGGGAAAGGGGGCACGCCCCCUCCCCUUCCUAUUCGGACUCCACUUGGGGGGACGCGCACGCCUCCCCCUUGUGGGUUGUACCCUCUUCUCUCCCAUGGCCCAUAAGGCCCAUGAUUUCCCCCGGGGGGUUCCGGUAACCUCCCGGUACUCCAGAAAAAUGCUCGAAUCACUCGGAAUCAUUCUGAUGUUUGAAUGCAACCUUCCAAUAUAUGAAUCUUUACCUCUCGACCAUUUCUGUGAUCUCAUCCGGGACUCCGGACAAACUUCAGUCAUCAAAUCACAUAACUCAUAAUACAAAUUGGCACGAACGUUAAGCAUGCGGACCCUAUGGGUUUGAGAACUAUGUAGACAUGACUGAGACACAUCUCCGGUCAUUAACCAAUAGCGGAACCUGGAUGCUCAUAUUGGCUCCUACAUAUUCUACGAAGAUCUUUAUCGGUCAAACCGCAUAACAACAUACGUAGUUCCCUUUGUCAUAUGUAUGUUAUUUGCCCGAGAUCCGAUCGUCGGUAUCCCCAUACCUAGUUCAAUCUCGUUACCGUCAAGUAUCUUUACUUGUUCCGUAAUGCAUCAUCAUGUAACUAACUCAUUAGUCACAUUGCUUGCAAGGCUUAUAGUGAUGUGCAUUACCGAGAGGGCUUAGAGAUACCUCUCUGAUACACGAAGUGGCAAAUCCUAAUCUCGAUCUAUGCCAACUCAACAAACACCAUCAGAGACACCUGUAGAGCAUCUUUAUAAUCACCCAGUUACAUUGUGACGUUUGAUAGCACACUAAGUGUUCCUCCGGUAUUCGGGAGUUGCAUAAUCUCAUAGUCAUAGGAACAUGUAUAAGUCAUAAAGAAAGCAAUAGCAAUAAAAUUAAACGAUCAUUAUGCUAAGAUAACGGAUGGGUCUUGUCCAUCACAUCAUUCUCUAAUGAUGUGAUCCCGUUCAUCAAAUGACAACACAUGUCUAUGGUUAGGAAACUUAACCAUCUUUGAUUAACGAGCUAGUCUAGUAGAGGCAUACUAGGGACACUCUGUUUGUCUAUGUAUUCACACAUGUACUAAGUUUCUGGUUAAUACAAUUCUAGCAUGAAUAACAAAGAUUUAUCAUGAUAUAAGGAAAUAUAAAUAACAACUUUAUUAUUGCCUCUAGGGCAUAUUUCCUUCAGGAAGAGCAUCGCGGGUGGGAGGGAGAAGGGGAAUUAAGAGAGUGUGGGUUUGGGUUUGGGCCUCCGCGUGCUAUGUGUACACAUGUGUUGGUGGGUCGAUAGUAGUGGUCCUGGGUUUAUACCCCACGCUACUACUAUGGCCUAUCCCGGGGGUACGGUAGAGACCGCUUAGUAGUAGCGAGGGAUUUAUACCCCUCACUACUACUAUCAACUUAGUAGUAGUGAGGGAUUUAUACCCCUCGCUACUACUAUCAACUUAGUAGUAGUGAGGGAUUUAUACCCCUCGAUACUACUAUGGCCAGUCCCGGGGGGCACGGUGGAGACCACUUAGUAGUAGUGUGGGGUUUAUACCCCUCGCUACUACUAUCAACUUAGUAGUAGUGUGGGUUCUAUACCCCUCGCUACCAAUAAUUAGCAGCAGUGUGGCCCAUAUACCCCUCGCUACGGUUAAGCAUCUAUCUAUAAAGUAUUUUCUAGUAGUGCAUCGAUGGCGGCGAAAUCAGUCGUUCUGCUUGUUUUCCCUACUAGCUCUCUGACGUCCAGAACAAGUUUACGGUCAUAAGGUGCAAUAACCUUGCCUUCAUGAGUGACACGAUGACACGGGAACAGGCUUCCAAGCCUAUGGUGUCGCAUCAUGUCGUGGUCUGCUAGACUUAGUGGACGAAUGCUACUACAAUAUCGGUUGAUCUCAUACUACAAUACCAAGGAAGACACGCAACUACUAUAUAUAUUUCUUCAAGUCAGUCAACACAAGUAAAAUCUGGGAGUUCAACUGGUGCAGCUAUGCAAUGCUAAUGGAGACAACACAAUUCAACUUUAGCACUUCACACAUAAGCAACACCACGUUCAAUGGCACACACCUUAGAGUGUACCUAUGGUGGUUGAUUGGGCUAUAAGAAAUGUGAGUCCAUGUGAAGAUGCCAAAUAUAAUAACACGGCUAAUUACACAUGCAGUGGCAGCAGCAACAAGUGCAUGAAUUCCACAAAUGAUCUAGGGUACACAUGCAACUGUGUCCUUGAGUAUGACAACAACCCUUAUCUUCUAGACAAAUGCAUGGUAUGCUACUAAUUUAUUUGCUAAAUAUUCCAAUGAAUUGUGUCCUUUACUUUGUACAUACCCAAUUAUAAUAUUUUAUUUUGCUAAUACAAUGUAGCCUUCAAUUUAAACCAAGGUUUGCAUCCAUUAAUUAUGUUAGGUUCAUAUGACUUCACUACAUAAAUAGGUAGAUAAUGCAUAAGACUGAGAUUGUAGCUAGGGAUGAAAAUCUAAAUACGGCAUGAAUCUAACAAUUAUGAGUAAUGUCUUUGUGACAAGAACUUUCUUUGUCUUUUAUUCCCAUGUUUGAACUAGUAUAGGUCAGGGUUACACAUUAUGGUGCACAUCACUUUAUUUGUCAUCGUUACAUUGAACACUCAUUGACUAAACAACGAUGAUCCAUCCGUCUUGUAUUACAGGUCUUCAUUUCAUUGGCCACCGAUGCUUGUAAGACUACUCCCAGAUGGUUGUUGUUGUGGAUAUGGUUGUUGAGGUUGGUGUGGUUGCUGGGGGAAUGGUUGUUGGGGUUGCUGGGAAAUUGUUUGUUCUAGUUGCUGGGAUAAUUGUUGUUGGGGCUGCAGAAAUGGUUGUUGUGGUUGUUGUGGUUGCAGGAUGGAGGGUUGCUGGGAAAAUGGUUGUUGCGGUCGUAGGGGGAAUGGUUGUUGUGGUUGUAGAGGGAAAGGUUGUUGUGGUUGUUGAGGGAAUGGUUGUUGUGGUUGUUGGGGGAAUGAUUGUUGUGGUUGCAGGGGGAAUGGUUGUUGUGGUUGCUGGGGGAANNNNNNNNNNNNNNNNNNNNNNNNNNNNNNNNNNNNNNNNNNNNNNNNNNNNNNNNNNNNNNNNNNNNNNNNNNNNNNNNNNNNNNNNNNNNNNNNNNNNNNNNNNNNNNNNNNNNNNNNNNNNNNNNNNNNNNNNNNNNNNNNNNNNNNNNNNNNNNNNNNNNNNNNNNNNNNNNNNNNNNNNNNNNNNNNNNNNNNNNNNNNNNNNNNNNNNNNNNNNNNNNNNNNNNNNNNNNNNNNNNNNNNNNNNNNNNNNNNNNNNNNNNNNNNNNNNNNNNNNNNNNNNNNNNNNNNNNNNNNNNNNNNNNNNNNNNNNNNNNNNNNNNNNNNNNNNNNNNNNNNNNNNNNNNNNNNNNNNNNNNNNNNNNNNNNNNNNNNNNNNNNNNNNNNNNNNNNNNNNNNNNNNNNNNNNNNNNNNNUGGUUGCAGAGGGAACGAUUGUUGGGUCUGGGGAAAUGGUUGUUGUGGUUGCCAGGAAAAUGGUUGUUGGGGCUGUGGAAAAGGUUGUUGUGGUUGUUGGGGUUGCUGGGGGAAUGGUUGUUGUGGUUGUAAGGGGGUCGGUUGUUGGGGUUGGGGAAAUAAUUGUUGUGAUUGCUGGGGAAAUUGUUGUUGGGGUGUGGAAAAUGGUUGUUGUGAUGGAUAUGGUUGCUGUGAUGGAUAUGGUUGUUGUGGAUAUGGCUGUUGUGGAAAUAGUUUUUGUUGAUGGGAAAAUGAUUGUUGAGGUGAUUGUAACUCUUUGUUGUUAGGGUUUAGUUGCCUAGCGGCAAUGGCGGUGUUCAUCGCCAUGGCAAGGAGGACAAAGAUGAGGAAGGUCUUCAUGUUGGAUUUGUGGUUACUACUGCUUGCUUGCCUUUGAUGCUUGUGGUCUAGGUGUGUGAAGUUUUGUUGAUGGAAGGUGUCCUUGGUGGUGCAUGUGUAUUUAUAGUUUUCAUGGCAUGGCUUGCUUUCAUCUUUGCACUCGCUCUUUGAAAAAGUGCAUCAAUGCUUAUCCAACUAAUCAUUUGGUUUGUUGUGUUUGGUGCAACUACUUACUAGUGAGAUUUUGGAUUUUCAUGAUAGUUGUUUUUUGUUGAAAUCAUCUGGUUGUAAGGAAUGUUGGAUAAUGACCAAUGACUCAUCUUCUUCACUUUACACUGCAAACAUUGAUCUAGAUUAUGUCCCUUUUUGAAAUUUAGUUUGUGGAGCUCUACAUGUUGUUAGGCUUAUCCAUAUUGGCAUAGCUUGAGUGGAGCUAAGUUUGUAAGCUUGUGUGCGCCAUUAUGAUGGAUCACACUAUUAAUGUGAUGAUUGUUUUACAAAUUAUCUUUCCAAAACUAACUUUAUGUUUUUUGCCCAAUAUGAUUCUAAGACGGAUAACCAGACAUGACUCAUCAAAUAACAAGAUAAACCGAGUAGCAAGUUGGGGGUUAUAAGUUAUAAUAUGGACUUUUCUCUAAGAUACACCAUCUUGUCUUGCAUGCUCUGUGGAUUUGAAAAGCAUCUACUAAUUUAGAUGCAAUUGAAACAAAAGUAGACUAAAAAGGUAAGCAAUGAAAUGAGAAUACUAUUAUGUGAAGCUCUACAUGUCUGGUAAGCAGUGAGAUACUGGAUACAUCUAUAUCUUCAAUCCUUUCAUCCCUAUCAACUCUUUAUUGGCUGCUUUUAUCGUAGUCAUCCCUUAAAUAAAAAUCACUUAAAUAUAAGUUUGGGAGUUAGUACCAACAUAUAUCAUGUACAAGAUAGAAAACUAAGGCACAUAUAGUAGUCUAUUGACCAUAUUUAAUUUCUUGUGAUGUGAAAGCAUGUGGAGUAUAAGUUGGUUAAAUAUAAAGUUGUCCUUCAUACCAGUAGGGAAAGAAUAUGCAGUAUAAAGAUUAGAGCAUUGGACUAAUAUGCUAUUAAAUGCUACAGGAUAAUUGACAGUUCAAGUUAAGAACAACAUUAGCAUUCCAACUUUUGUCUUGUGCAAGUUAAGAACAUGCUAACAAAGUAACCUAAGCAAAUAAGUGCAAAACCUUCACCUAUAAGGAAAUUGUGAAACUACACAAAAUGACCUAUUGUAAAGAAGGAAAAAAAUCUAAAGGUGAAUGAAAGAACGUUAAGUACAUUCAGGAUUCGAUUAUGCCUUCAUGGAUAACCUUUUAGAUGGUGACAUGUCCAUGUUGAUGUGUGUCGGCAUGGAACGAGGACAAGAAGACGUCGUUGCGUCGUACUUUGGGAAUUUCAUCAAACUGGUUGUGUGCGGGAACAAAUAUUUGUCGCCUCCCUGCUCAAAUCUCUCUUCAUGUCACUGAAUCCGACACUCCACCUACCAAAAUCAGCUGCAAGCCAGGGAUAAUCAACGGGUUUCUCCGCCCGUAGCAUCUAUCACCAAAAGUAGUUCAGACUAUAGUCUUGUAGUUCAAAAUUUUGUAAUAACAAGCACUACUAGGUUGCUUUUGUUUGUACGUCUUCAUUCUGUACAACCCAUGGAACUAAAAAUGCAUUGGUCAUUCUUUGUUCUAUACAACCAAUUCAACCAAAAAUGCAUUGGGCUUUUCUUUGUACAUCUUCGGGUUCUACAACCAAUGCAACAAAAAAUCCAUUGGGUAGUCUUCCAUUCUAGUCGGGCACCAACAGUUAAAUGAGGAGCUAAACAAUGUUGGAGUCUAAAACUACAUACAAUCAUGAAGCAUAGAGAGGCGACUUGGAAGCUGUGCUCCUGUGAGCUCGUAUUUUUGUAGACAAAAAGUAAUGUUUGUAUUUUGAAGUGGGAAAAAAUCCUAAAAAGGGAUGUUUUGCGGGUUAUAACUUACUAUUUUUGGGUCCUGGGCUGCAGGAAGGUCGUCAAAAUCAAUGUGUUUUCCCAUUCAAUGCAUGUUUCUUGGGUUAUAGGUCACGCUUUUGGUGUCCUAGGGAGAUCACUUCCCCGGUCAAGAACAUUAGGUGAUGAUUUUUAGAAAAACUCAUUGUUUUAGCCUAACUAGUUUCGAGGAUUGGUGGACGGGAUUAUCAUGGAACAAAGUGACAACCUUCCUUUUCUUCAUGCCUAAUAUAAACUUAGCAGUCAGCUAAAAGUAACUAGCGAUAUCACAGAAUGUUUUUUGUCAAAAGUAGAUACCACUUCAGGAUUCAACUCGGUUAGUUCAAUCACAGACAUGUUAAGAGCAGGAUUUACAACUAACUGCAUAGGGAACAUCUCCUUUUAUCACCCACUAUCUGUCUGUGCACUUUGGUUUUCCCGUAGCAUCACACAAAGCACUUUGUUAGUACCAAUAAUGUGCUCCAACUCUACACAUUAAUCAUCUUGAAUUCUUCUACUGAUGUCGAACAAUGUAAUAUCUUGAAUUCUUCUAACGAGUUCGGAUUAGACUACAUGGGCAAUUUAUCUGGUCCCUGAGAUGCAAGGUCGAUGAACAAUCGCUUCGUCUUAUGACGAGGGGUUGUUUUUGCCUAAGAAACUAAUACAUGUAACUUCGACACCGGAUUAAUAAAUGGUAAAACCUAAAUAAAUUAGAUCACGAGCUAAACCAUUUACUUUUGUAUGCAUUUAAACUUUUGAUACAUAUGAGCUUGUUAAGAUGUUCGCAUAAACACCAUGGUGAUUUGAAGCAAGACAAAGUAAACUUGAACCGCUUGAGCCACUGACUUAAUAAGAACCUCCUUUCCCGCGGCAGAGAUUGUUUUUAAUACAUCCACUCACUUUGGCCCAUAGUUUGUCUUUGAGAUACUUAAAAGCACUAGACAUAGAAUUGACAAUAUUAGAAGGCAAGCCCAAAUAUUUCACAUUUAGUGUUUCUACUUGGACACUGAGACCACCUUUGACCUCAUUUUUGACAUUCUCUCUGCAAUCCUUGCUGAGAAACACUGAAGGCUUCCUAUUUAUUUAUUCUUGACCUAAAGCUUCAUUGCGUCUUGCCUUGGUCUUGCACUACUUGCGGCACAAUACGCCUUUGGAACUGCCGUUCCGAAUUCAGAGUGCCGAAGGUGGUGUGACGAUGUUGAGAUACCGUACUCGUUCGGUAGUGAUUCGGGUUGAUCAUUCAGAGUAGACUUUGACAAUAGCUGCAAGGACAAGAUUGCAUUAGGGAGCCUUUUAAUUACACCUCGGAGGUGCUCAGCAUCUUCUUGAUGAACAACAUGGUCCUAGUGUUGAAUAAUAUCAUAUGGGGUAGUGCUACAACAACUCCACCACAAGCAUGGAGGAAUUUAGCAAAUUCCAUCAGUACUAGGAGAAAGCCUAGUAGCAACGCGAGGUAAAGGACUACUAGUAGCGCGGGUGCCCACGCUACUACUAGGGUGCUACAGCUAAUUGGUAGUAGUAGCGUGGGUGACACCCUGCGCUACUACCACGUCUGUUAGUAUAGUAGCGCGAGUGUCACCCGCACUACUACUAGUUAUCUGUAGCCCGGGUCUGACCCCACGCUACUACUAACUAAUUAGGAAUUAAAAAAAUAAAUUCCAUCCAUGGUUGCUGCUGCUGGGCGUCAUCGUCCUCUCCGUCCAUGGCUGAUGUUGGUCCUGGAGGGGAUGACGUCGUCCAUGGUGAUGGUACUUCCUCACCCAAAUCGUCCCCACACCUCUCCUAUGCUACUGCUACAAAAUAAGAGAAAACGAUUAGAAGAGGAAGAGAGAUAUUGAGAGGAGUAGGAGGAGCAACUGACCGGUGGCCGCCGGAGUUGGAGCUGAUGCCCGAAACCCUAGACGAUGCCCGGUGACCUGUUGCUUCUUUUCCUGGGACCUCAUGUCCUCACAAGGCCAUGUCUCAGCGAGGAAGUGCAAGUGGUUGCGUAGCAGAUCUGUUCAUCGCCAUUGGUGGCGCUCUGUUGGAUCUUCCUCUCCUUCCAGCAUCGGAGAAGGAGGAGGAAGGAGGCGAAGGUGAGGCGUAAGUCAGUGGCCCAAAAUUUUUAUAUAGAUGAGACUUACUAAGUAAUAACCCCAUAGAAUCUAUCUAUAUAAAGAUAAAGAGGCAAUCGUGUCAGGAAGCGGGUUUUUCUUUGGCCAAAAGGUACUUAGAACUUGGAACGAGCAUGAAGAGAUUAACGAGACUUCUUUCUCUUUUGAGUUUUUCUGGCGGACCUGCCGCGCAAGAUCUUUGGUCUUCCCCUGGAACCGAUGAAAAAAAGUGGAUUGCUUCUUAUGUACUCGCUCAGCUUAAGAUGCUCGCAUAAUCCCCGUGGUAAUUUGAAGCAAUACAUAGAGUAAACUAGAACUGCUUGAGCCACUAACUUAAUGAGAACCUCCUUUCCCGUAGGAUAUAUCAUUUUUUCAAUCCAUCCAUUCACUUUGGCCCAUAGUAUGUCUUUGAGAUACUUAAAAGCAGUAGAUUAGAAUUACCAAUAUCAUAAGGCAAGCCCAAAUAUUUCUCAUUUAGUGUUUCUGUUGGACACUGAGAACACCUUUGACCUCAUAUCUAACAUUCUCUACACAACCCUUGCUGAGAAACACUGAAGACUUGCUAUUAUUUAUUCUUUGACCUGAAACUUGGCAAUAGGUUUGACACAUCUGUCGCCCCUGAACCAUUUGCCUUGAAAAACAGCAGGCUGUCAUCUGCAAAUAACAAGUGGUUAACUGAUGCCACCAAAGGAGCUACUUGGAUUCCAGUAAACUGGGAUGACUAGUCUCUAGAUUUGAGGAGGCCCGAAAGGCCAUGUACUGCUAACAGGAAAAUCAAGGUGAAUUGGAUCUUGCUGCCGUAUACCACGGGUAGGUUUGAGCUCAUCAAGUUUCUUGCUCUUGAAUAAAAUUGAAUAAGAUACAGAAGCUACCAUGCUCAUUUCUAUGGAGGCCCAUUUAACAGAGAAUCCAAAGUUGAGAUUUAUCACCUCCAAAUACGCCCAUUCAACUAGAUUAUAAGCCUUCAUCAUAUCCAAUUUUAGAGUACAAUGGUGAUGUUACAAUGACUUAUUCCUUUUCAUGAAAUGUAAGCACUCGUAGGCCACGAUUAUAUUGUCAGUGAUAAGGCGACCCGGAACAGAAGCCGACUCUUCACUCAAUAUUAUCUCCGGAAGGGCCCCUUUUAGCCGGUUAGCCAGAACUUUGGGUGUUAUUUGUAAAGUUGCAUAGGCUAAUACGACAGAACUGGCUUAGGAAAGUACCAUUUUGUACCUCAUCACUAUCCUCGCCACAAUACAAAGGACAACCAUUGUUACCUCCUCGCCGCAAAUAUCCCAAUGUUUCUCAAAGAAAUGUUCAAAGAAUCCGUCCGGGCCCAAGGCCUUCAUGCGGAACAUUUGAAACAAUACAAUUUAAACCUUGUUGUAGAAUACUUAGCGUCAAGGAAGGCAUUCAUCGCAUCACUGACCUUUACUGGAACCAAGUCAGGAAAUCAUGCAUAUUAGAAACAGUCUCAGAAGUGAAAAGCUCCGAGUAAAACUAUGUUGUGAUCUCUUCCAAUUCCUUAAGAACACUGAUAACAUCACAUUAGGUUGCUACAAUGAUUUGGUCAAAUUAUUCCGCCUUCUCAUCGAAGCCCUUAAGUGAAAGAAGCAUGUGGUCUUGUCCCCACUAAUCAGCCACUUAAUCUGAGAUCUAGUAGGCAAGAUGAGUGACGGGAAGUAGUUCGGAACAAUUUCCUCUUAUUCACUUCUAAAACAAAUUUUCGGUUUUUGUCGUUCCUAAGCCAAGGAUUUGAUAAAUAUUCAUAAAUUUUUAAAAUGUUCACCAAUAUUAAAAACAUCAUGAUUUUAAAAAACCGUGAUUUUUAAACAAAAUCAUAAAUAUGAAAAUUGCCAUUCACAAAAUUUUAAAAUAAAAUCAUGAAUUUUAAAAGAAUUUUCAAAAUUUUGAUAAAUAUCUACGAAUUUUACAACUUUGAUGAAUUUUAAAAACAAACCAUAACAAAAAAACACUAGCAAGUUCGAUCCUAAAAAAUGCCUUGCCUUCUACUAUGCGUAGCGUGCAUGGACAGCCGGACCUAGACACCCUAGACCAAAAACCCUACAUCUGGGCCAGGCCCGAGCUCCAUUUUUUGGCCCAAAGCCCAGCCCAAAAAGGCAGAAAUGGUAAGAAAUGUAUACUUUAUUCAAAAUAUAGGUAUAUUAUAUUGUUUUAGUAUCUCAAAUAAUUAUUUAAAUUGAAAAAUGUCGUUGUUCAUGUGUUUCUGGACGGGCCAAGCCAGGCUCAUGCUUGGGAUUUUUGCUUCGGGCUUUGACAACCUGGCCCGGGGUAUGAUCAAGUUCAGCAUGGCCCAGUCACACACCCUUGUACAACAUUUUGUUGUAGAGAGCGGCAAAUAUAAUUUUCCCGAUCUAAUAUUGCUCGCUAUAAGUCUAUAUCUAUACUUUUUUCUAUACCCAUACUAAUAAAGCAAGGUGCGUUUCCCCAAUUUUUUCAUUCAUUCACUGUCGAAAACAAUUAUGUUUCCUAUCCGAGGUGGUCCUAAAUUCUUAUGCGUUCAUCUGCUAAAAGAAAGGCUUUUCCGGAAUUUCUUACGUGGGUUGCGCGCUAUGGCCAGUGAAGUCAGCCCACUUAUUUUUCUGCCCAUGCAGCUCUAAAAAAUCUAUUUAACACACAGGGCAAGAAAUAGUCGGCACUUCAAACUGGAAAACAAAUAAUGGGCUAGCCAAUUUUUCUUUGUUUCUGUGUUUUAUUUCUAUUUUUAUUCUCCUUCCCCGAUUUCUUUUUUCACUUCCAAGUUUACAUUUCUUAUAGAAUUUAUUUUAUAAAUUCAAAAUUCUCAAAAAACAUAGAGAAUUUUAAAAAAAUGGAAAAUGUUCAUAACUCCAAUUUUUUUGCUAUUUAAAUUUUUUUCAGAACUUGAAUUUUUUCCCUUUUUCCGAAAAUUUUAUUGUUUUUUAAAAUUGUUAGAGAUUUCUAAAAAGAAAAUGGAAAUUUAAAAAGUCUUCCAAAUUCGAAAAAAAAUCAUGUUUUAGUGAAAUUUUCACAACUCAAAUUAUUCUUAAAAAAUACACAUUUUAAAAAGUAAGGAUUUUCAAUACAUGUUCCCGUUCUAAAAAAAUGUUGACAAAUUCAAAUAAUGUUCAUGUUUUUAUUUUAAAAGUUCGUGUUUUCAAAAAUGUUUGUAAAUUCUAAAAGAUGUUCCUAUUUCAUAUUUUGUUCAUGUUUUUCUGAAAGUGUACCUAAUUUUCAAAAAACUGUUCAGGAUUUAAAAAAUGGUUCAUGUUGCCUACAAUAUUGAGAAACUUCAUACCUUAAAAUCUCCUCGAUUGAAGGAACCAUAGAUUGAAUAAUUCAUGGGCCUUCUCUGGUGGACGAUGACGUAGCAAAACUCUUAAAUGCCCUCAAUCAAUGAAUGGAAAAAUAGCGAAUUGAGUACUUCACACCCAGCGAAACAAAGAAGCUAAAUGUUCCCUUUUUACGUGCGCACAGGGUUUUGCUUGCACAAAUAAUUCUCACUAACUUCCAAUGCAUACUAAUUUUUCUCCCAUUGCGAAGCACAAGCAUAUGUGCUAGUUUUAUCCACGGUGGUACUAAAUUUUUUUGAGUCCAUCUGCUAGAAAAAGGAAAAACAGUUUUGUCAAAAUUUUCGUACAUGGGCCGCGCGCGCUGUGGCCCAGCGAAGCUGGCCCAUUUAUUUCCGGCCGAAGCAGCUGAGAAUAAUUAUUUAACGCUUGGGGCGGCAAAUAGACAAAGUUUCGCAUAGGGCGCCAAAUAUUUGGUCGGCCCAUAUUUGUUUUCUCUCUAGUUUGUUUCUUUUUUUAUUUUCCUUUCUCCUUUUCUUAUCUCUUUACUUUUUCUUUUUUCCCUUUCAAGUUAAUUUUUCUUUUCUCCUUUUCCAUAAAUUAAAUUUUUCAAUAUUUCAGAAUUUUAGUUUUGGAUUAAAUUUUCGUAAAAUCUUCAUAAUUAUUUCUCCCCAUUUUGAAUUGUUUUUAAACUAUAAUUUUUUCUUCUUCUUCUUCCAAAAUUUAUUCAAAACUAUAGAAUAAAGUUCGCAUAUUAAUUUUUUUAUGCUUUCCAAAAUUGUUUGAUAUUUUCAAAAUAUAUUGCAUUAAAAAAUUAAAUAUUUAGAUUUUAUUGAAAUGUUAAUUCAAAGUAAUGUUUGUGUUUAAAAACAUGUUUUUCAAAAUUCUUUUCAAUGUCCAAAACACGUUUUCAUUUCCAAAAAAAAUCACGUAUUCAAAACAUGUUUGCUUUCUUAUAAUAGGUUCAUGUUUUCAAAAAACAUAAAUUUCAAAAAAAUUGUCACAUCUUAAAGAAUAUUCAAAAUAUCGUAAUUAUUACUUUAUUUUUUGAAAAAAAUCAAGAAAAACAGAAAAAAAAAUGUAUAUUAUGCUACAGUAUAUUCUUAAAAUUUCGCCCUCGCCAUUUGUUAGCAUGAGCUGUUUGUUCGAGUGGCUAGCAGCACGUGGUCGAGUUUUUGAGGUCAUGAGUUUGAUCCUUCAACUCAGUGGUUGUUUUGGAUUUUUAUUCACGCCUUACAAAUACAAGUCAUUUUGGUACCUGCCAGCGGCCUUGCCAGACUCGAACUGCCGUGCAUCCGACGUGCUAUUUGACGAUAAAAGAGAAUAUGUUGCUUGACUAUAAUUAAAAAAAUGUGGGCACAUGCCAAUAAAAGAGGAUAUGCUGGUUUGACUCUGAUUAAAAAAAUGUUGGCAAGUGAGCGUCGAAAUAAUUAAAGAGAAUAAACCCUGGUAAAGUAGGGACUACCUGGUUACGUGCUUAUUAUACCAAAGAAACGGGAUUUCCUGCAAUUAGUACUUCAACCGGUUACACCAUCAUAGGAGAGAGUAGUCGAAGCAACUAUGCCACGAAGGUCGCCGUGCUGCACAAAAUGAGGAGGCAACCGCAACCUAGACACGGAGGCAGACUCGGAGAAAAAAAAGCGCAAGUUGGGUGGUGGCCACCACUCCAGCAACCCCAUCAAUAUCAAGAACUCGUGGGCCAAACAUGAUCUCAAGAACAUCGCCGGGGAGACCUUUUGAUGGACACAUCAAUUAUCUCUCCUGAUACUUCUCGUUAAAAAUAUCUUUCUAGUUCUAACGCACGGGCAUAUGUGCUAGUGAUAUAUAAAAUAUGUUGUGCCAAUGAGCACACGGGCUAGCGAGACUCGCCAUGCUUUCAUGUCAUACCGGAGUCCAAACACUCAACUGGAGGGUCCAACCUUAGCGACAGAGUCUUCUUUUGUUGGGAGAAUCUAUAUAUCCGCGAGUGUUAUAUCUCGCAUCUGGUUUACGCGCAGUGCACCUAACCACUAGGCUUUGCCUUACAUUCAUGACAGAGUAGUAAAGCUAGAUUGUUUAAGUCCACACGAGUCAAGGUUUUCAAUGUUUCUUCUCCAUUUUUUUUCAUUUUUUCAUUUUUGUUUUUAUAUUUAUUUCUGUCGGGUUUGUUUGAUCCCUUUCGAGGGCAUAAUAGAGGAACCACACCGUGGUGAUGUGGAUGGGUUUAUAGAUACCAUCACUGUAGGGGAAACGAGGAAGGUUUUCGAUGCACGAAUCACUAGCAUACAUUUUCAUGUUUUACGCUAAUUUGCAAUAUUUGCUAGUCGUUGCUUAAUUGGUUGCGGAAACUGUGGAAACCUUAGUGUUCCUGAUAUUAUUAUUUUGUUCCACGGUUUAUUCUGUGAUAACUCUAUUAGUAUGGGCGGUAUUAUUCCUAAAUGGUUAAGUCUGAACUGUACAAAGGGCCCCAUCUUUGGAGGCAUCUAUGCUUCACACCUAGCUGCGCAUUUUAACAUAGCUAUUAGGCAUUAUGAGAAGGAAGAAAAAUUGCUACCCCCUGUUUAUUUAGAUUAUAAUAGUAUGGUGGCACAUGAUUUUAUUGUUAAGAAUAAGGAAGGGGAGCUUAAAUACAAAUUGUUCUUUGAUAAACAUCAUCCUGAGACUAUUACCCUGCCUGCUCCUUCCUUGUUUGAUUUAUCUGCAGGCAAGUACCUCGUUCCAUUAGAGGCUAUUCACGCCUACCGAAACCCUACAUCAGCCAUAGAGCCAGAGUCGGAACCACAAGUUGAUUCUCCAUGACAGUCUAAUUACCAUUGGGAUCCAGAAAUGAUUGCCACCAGUGGCAAUCAGAGUCUUCUUCGCAGUACGACCCCAACUAUUACUAUGGAUAUCCGCCAGGCCAGCCGUGGCCAUAGACCAACUUAGGUCAAAAGCCUAAACUUGGGGGAGUACGUAUUUCCCGCCGACAUUACAUUCAUGUUCGCACACUCAUUGCUAGAUGUCGGUGCUCAUACUUUUUCAUUGUAUCAUCCAUACUAGUUCAUUUCCUUUUUAAGCUUUCUUCUUGUGUGUUUAAUAAACCUUAAGAAAAACCAAAAACAUUAGUUGUAGCUUUUAGCUAGUUUUAAUUUCCAUGCUCGUAGUAGUAAUUAAAAAGAAAACCCAAAAAAAAGAUUUCAUGUUCUUCUUUUGCUUGUUGGGAGCUUUCCCGUGUAAAUAGUUUUAUUUCUUUUCUUUUCUUUGGGGGUCGAUAGGAGAAGACCAUGAUUAAAUUGUUGAAGUGGCUCUUAUAUGUAUUUUUGUUGAUCUGACAAAAGAGCCCAUAUUGCCUCGACUUCUCCUGUUUAUUGAAUGCUUGCAGAUUCCAGCUUAGUCCAAUGCACGUGCACUAUUAUUAUUAUCCACAUCAUUCGGUCGUGCAAGUGAAAGGCAAUUAUGACGAUAUAUGAUGGACUGACUGAGAUGAGAAAAGCUGGUAUGAACUCAACCUGUCUUGUUUUUGUAAAUAUGAUUAGUUCAUCGUUCCUGAUUCAGCCUAUUAUGAAUAAACAUGUUUGCAAUGACAACUAGAGAUCAUAGUUUCUUGUGCCAUGCUUGAUUAGCUAGGAGCUUAUAAUGGUUUACCUUGCGUGCCAACAUGCUAUUAAAAUGGUUGUGAUGUGGUAUGAUAGGGUGGUAUCCUCCUCUGAACGAUUCGAGUGGCUUGACUUGGCACAUAUUCACGCAUGUAGUUGAAACAAAAUCAACAUAGCCUCUACGAUAUUUAUGUUCAUGGUGAAUUAUAUCCUACUCAUGCUUGCAUUCGGUGCUGAUUAAUUUUAAUGCAUGUUUAUGACUGUUGUCGCUCUCUAGCUGGUCGCUUCCCAGUCUUUUGCUAGCCUUCACCUAUACUAAGCGGGAAUACUACUUGUGCAUCCAAUCCCAUAAACCCCAAAGUUAUUCCAUAUGAGUCCACCAUACCUACCUAUUUACGGUAUCUACCUGCCGUUGCAAGUAAAUUUGUAUGUGCCAAACUCUAAACCUUCAAAUAAAUAUCAUGUUUUGUAUGCUCGAAUAGCUCAUGUAUCAACUAGGUUUGUCUGUAUCUUUCAUGUUAGGCGGGUUAUUCUCAAGAGGAGUGGACUCCGCUCCUCACUCGCGAGAAAAUGGCUGGUCACCCGGAUGCCUAGUCCCAUGCUUUAUGCAAAUCAAAUCAAAAUAAUUGCAAACAAAAUUGCCCCUGGGACUCUUGUUAGUUGGAGGCACUCGUUGUUUCGAGCAAGCCAUGGAUUGAUGCUUGUUGGUGGAGGGGGGGUAUAAAAUUUUCCAUUCUGUUUGGGAACCGCCUAUAAUGUGUGUAGCAUGGAAGAUAUCACCAUCUCUUGGUUGUUAUGUUGACAAUGAAAGUAUACCGCUCAAAAUAUUAUUUACCUCUAUUUCAAAAUCGAGCUCUGGCACCUCUACAAAUCCCUGCUUCCCUCUGCGAAGGGCCUAUCUAUUUACUUUUAUGUUGAGUCAUCAUCCUCUUAUUAAAAUGCACCAGUUGGAGAGCACCGUUGUCAUUUGCAUUCAUUACUAUUAUUUUACAUUGAAUAUGACUUGACUGGAUCUCUUUUACCAUGAAUUACAAUGUCUAGUCAGUCCUUGAUCUUUAAAGGUGCUCUACAUUUAUGUUUUGCGGUCUCAGAAAGGGCUAGCGAGAUACCAUCUUGUUAUAUCAUAUCAUGAUUGUUUUGAGAAAGUGUUGUCAUCCGAGAUUUAUUGUUAUUGCUCGCUAGUUGAUUAUGCCAUUGAUAUGAGUAAACAUGAUACAUAAAUGUUAUUGGAAUAUGGUUAGUUCAUAAUCUUUGCUGAAAACUUGAAUGCUGGCUCUACAUAUUUACAACAACAAGAGCAAACAGAGUUUGUAAAAGUUUUUCUUUAUCACUUUCAGUUUAUCAACUGAAUUGCUUGAGGACAAGCAAAGGUUUAAGCUUGAGGGAGUUGAUACGUCUCCGUCGUAUCUACUUUUCCAAACACUUUUGCCCUUGUUUUGGACUCUAACUUGCAUGAUUUGAAUGGAACUAACCCGGACUGACGUUGUUUUCAGCAGAAUUGCCAUGGUGUUAUUUUUGUGCAGAAAUAAAAGUUCUCGGAAUGACCUAAAAAUCAAAGGAGAAUUAUUUUGAAAUAUAUAAAAAAUAUUGGAAGGAAGAUCCACGUCAGGGGGGCCUCCACCUGUCCACGAGGGUGGAGAGCGUGCCCUACCCCCCUGGUGCUACCUCUUGAGCACUGCGUUGGUUUUCCCUUGAAGAGGAAAGGGUGAUGCAGUAAAGUAGUGUAAGUAUUUCCCUCAGUUUUUGAGAACCAAGGUAUCAAUCAAGUAGGAGAUCACGCUCGAGUCCCGCGCACCUACACAAACAAAUAAGAACCUCGCAACCAAUGCAAUAAAGGGGUUGUCAAUCCCUUCACGGUCACUUACGAGAGUGAGAUGUGAUAGAUAGGAUAAGAUAAUAUUUUUGGUAUUUUUAUGAUAAAGAGAAAUAAAGAUGCAAAGUAAAAUAAACAGCAAUAGAAAUAACUAAGUAUCACCUGGGCGCACCCCCCUGCCUCGUGGACCCCCUGACGCUCCACCGACCUCAACCCUGACUCCAUAUAUUCACUUUCGGGGAGAAAAAAACCAGAGAGAAAGAUUCAUCAUGUUUUACGAUAUGGAGCCGCCGCCAAGCCCUAAACUCUCUCGGGAGGGCUGAUCUGGAGUCUGUUCGGGGCUCCGGAGAGGGGAAUCCGUCGCCAUCGUCAUCAUCAACCUUCCUCCAUCACCAAUUUCAUGAUGCUCACCGCCGUGCGUGAGUAAUUCCAUCGUAGGCUUGCUGGACGGUGAUGGGUUGGAUGAGAUUUAUCAUGUAAUCAAGUUAGUUUUGUUAGGGUUUGAUCCCUAGUAUCCACUAUGUUCUGAGAUUGAUGUUGCUAUGACUUUGCUAUGCUUAAUGCUUGUCACUAGGGCCCGAGUGCCAUGAUUUCAGAUCUGAACCUAUUAUGUUUUCAUCAAUAUAUGAGUGUUCUUGAUCCUAUCUUGCAAGUCUAUAGUCACCUACUAUGUGUUAUGAUCCGGCAACCCCGAAGUGACAAUAAUCGGGACCACUCCUGGUGAUGAUCGUAGUUUGAGGAGUUCAUGUAUUCACUAUGUGUUAAUGCUUUGGUCUGGUACUCUAUUAAAAGGAGGCCUUAAUAUCCCUUAGUUUCCGCUAGGACCCUGCUGCCACGGGAGGGUAGGACAAAAGAUGUCAUGCAAGUUCUUUUCCAUAAGCACGUAUGACUAUAUUCGGAAUACAUGCCUACAUUACAUUGAUGAAUUGGAGCUAUUUCUGUGUCACCCUAGAUUAUGACUGUUACAUGAUGAACCGCAUCCGACAUAAUUCUCUAUCACCAAUCCAUUGCCUACGAGCUUUCCAUAUAUUGUUCUUUGCUUAUUUACUUUUCCGUUGCUAUUGCUAUCAUCACUAUAAAACAACAAAAACAUUACUUUUGCUAUCGUUACCUUUUGCUACCGUUACCACUACUAUCAUAUUACUUUGCUACUAAACACUUUGCUGGAGAUAUUAAGUUUCCUGGUGUGGUUGAAUUGACAACUCAGCUGCUAAUACUUGAGAGUAUUCUUUGGCUCCCCUUGUGUCGAAUCAAUAAAUUUGGGUUCAAUACUCUACCCUCGAAAACUGUUGCGAUCCCCUAUACUUGUGGGUUAUCAUUGCUCCUGCAGCGGGUCUUGCACCUAGCGGUGCUUCUAGGACGUAAUUCUUCUGUGUAGCAAUGAGGAUAAUUCUCAAGUUAUGGACCCAGUCCGUGUAGUUGCUACCAUCAUCUUUCAACUUAGCUUUCUCUACGAACGCAUUAAAAUUCAAAGGAACAGUAGCAGGGGCCAUUGAUCUACAAUAACAUAGACAUGCAAAAUACUAUUAGGUGCUAAGUUCAUGAUAAAUUAAAGUUCAAUUAAUCAUAUUACUUAAGAACUCCCACUUAGAUAGACAUCCCUCUAGUCAUCCAAAUGAUCACGUGAUCCAUAUCAACUAAACCAUGUCUGAUCAUCACGUGAGAUGGAGUAGUUUCAAUGGUGAACAUCACUAUGUUGAUCAUAUCUACUAUAUGAUUCACGCUCGACCUUUCGGUCUCAGUGUUCCGAGGCCAUAUCUGCAUAUGCUAGGCUCGUCAAGUUUAACCCGAGUAUUCUGCGUGUGCAAAACUGGCUUGCACCCGUUGUAUGUGAACGUAGAGCUUAUCACACCCGGUUAUCACGUGGUGUCUCGGCACGAUGAACUAUAGCAAUGGUGCAUACUCAGAGAGAACACUUGUACCUUGAAAUUUAGUGAGAGAUCAUCUUAUAAUGCUACCGCCGUACUAAGCAAAAUAAGAUGCAUAAAGGAUAAACAUCACAUGCAAUCAAAAUAAGUGAUAUGAUAUGGCCAUCAUCAUCUUGUGCCUUUGAUCUCCAUCUCCAAAGAACCGUUAUGAUCACCAUCAUCACCGGCUUGACACCUUGAUCUCCAUCGUAGCAUCGUUGUCAUCUCGCCAACUAUUGCUUCUACGACUACCGCUACCGCUUAGUGAUAAAGUAAAGCAAAAACAAGUGUGAUGUCCUCUACUUUGUUGUUGCAAGUUUUACGUGGCUGCUACGGGCUUCUAGCAAGAACCGUUCUUAUCUACGCCUCAAAACCACAACAAUUUUUCGUCAAGUGUGUUGUUUUAACCUUCAACAAGGAUCGGGCGUAGUCAAACUCGAUUCAACUAAAGUUGGAGAAAUAGACACCCACUAGCCACCCGUGUGUGAAGCACCUCGGUAGAACCAGUCUCAUGAACGCGGUCAUGUAAUGUCGGUCUGAGCCACUUCAUCCAACAAUACCGCCAAAUCAAAGUAAGACGUUGCUGGUAAGAAGUAUGACUAUUAUCGUCCACAACUCAUUGUGUUCUACUCAUGCAUAUAACAUCUACGCAUAGACCUGGCCCGGAUGUCACUGUUGGGAAACGUAUUAUUUCAAAAAAAAAUCCUACAAUCACGCAAGAUAUAUCUAGGAGAAGCAUAGCAAUGAGCGGGGAGAGUGUGUCCACGUACCCUCGUAGACCGAAAGCGGAAGCAUUUAGUAACACGGUUGAUGUAGUCGAACGUCUUUGCGAUCCAACCAAUCCAAACACCUAACGUACGGCACCUCCGCAUUCAGCACACGUUCAGCUCGAUGACAUCCCUCGAGCUCUUGAUCUAGUUGAGGCCGAGGGAUAGUUCCGUCAUCGCGAUGGCGUGGCGACGGUGAUGAUGAAGUUACCGGCGCAGGGCUUCGCCUAAGCACUACGACGAUAUGACCGAGGUGUGUAACUGUGGAGGGGGGCACCGCACACGGCUAAGAGAAACUUGUGUCUUUGGGGUGCCCCCUCCCACGUAUAUAAAUGGAGGGAGGAGGCCGGCCCAAGGGGGGGCGCCACAUGUGGGGAGUCCUACUAGGACUCCCUUGUCCUAGUAGGAUUCCCCUCUCCUUUCCUUUUACGGAGGGGGAAAGGGGGGAAGGAGAGGAGGGGAAGAGGGAAAGGGGGGCACGCCCCCUCCCCUUCCUAUUCGGACUCCACUUGGGGGGGACGCGCACGCCUCCCCCUUGUGGGUUGUCCCCUCUUCUCUCCCAUGGCCCAUAAGGCCCAUGAUUUCCCCCAGGGGGUUCCCGUAACCUCCCGGUACUCCGAAAAAAUUCCCGAAUCACUCGGAAUCAUUCCGAUGUUCAAAUGCAACCUUACAAUAUAUGAAUCUUUACCUCUCAACCAUUUUCGUGAUCUCAUCUGGGACUCCGAACAAACUUCAGUCAUCAAAUCACAUAACUCAUAAUACAAAUUGGCAUCGAACGUUAAGUGUGUGGACCCUACGGGUUUGAGAACUAUGUAGACAUGACCGAGACACAUCUCCGGUCAAUAACCAAUAGCGGAACCUAGAUGCUCAUAUUGGCUCCUACAUAUCUACGAAGAUCUUUAUCGGUCAAACCGCAUAACAACAUACGUUGUUCCCUUUGUCAUAUGUAUGUUAUUUGCCCGAGAUUCGCUCGUCGGUAUCCUCAUACCUAGUUCUAUCUCGUUACCGGCAAGUCUCUUUACUUGUUCCAUAAUGCAUCAUCUGGUAACUAACUCAUUAGUCACAUUGCUUGCAAGGCUUAUAGUGAUGUGCAUUACCGAGAGGGCCCAUAUAUACCUCUCUGAUACACGGAGUGACAAAUCCUAAUCUCGAUCUAUGCCAACUCAAGAAACACCAUCGGAGACACCUGUAGAGCAUCUUUAUAAUCACCCAGUUACGUUGUGAUGUUUGAUAGCACACUAAGUGUUCCUCCGGUAUUCGGGAAUUGCAUAAUCUCAUAGUCAUAGGAACAUGUAUAAGUCAUGAAGAAAGCAAUAGCAAUAAAAUUAAACGAUCAUUGUGCUAAGAUAACGGAUGGGUCUUGUCCAUCACAUCAUUCUCUAAUGAUGUGAUCCCGUUCAUCAAAUUACAACACAUGUCUAUGGUUAGGAAACUUAACCAUCUUUGAUUAACGAGCUAGUCUAGUAGAGGCAUACUAGGGACACUCUGUUUGUCUAUGUAUUCACACAUGUACUAAGUUUCCGGUUAAUACAAUUUUAGCAUGAAUAAUAAAGAUUUAUCAUGAUAUAAGGAAAUAUAAAUAACAACUUUAUUAUUGCCUCUAGGGCAUAUUUCCUUCAGGAAGAGCAUUGCGGGUGGGAGGGAGAAGGGGAAUUAAGAGAGUGUAGGUUUCGGUUUGGGCCUCCGCGCGCUAUGUGUACACAUGUGUUGGUGGGUCAAUAGUAGUGGCGCCAGGUUUAUACCCCACACUACUACUAUGGCCUAUCCCGGGGGUACGAUAGAGACCACUUAGUAGUAGCGAGGGAUUUAUACCCCUCGGUACUACUAUCAACUUAGUACUAGUGAGGGAUUUAUACCCCUUGCUACUACUAUCAACUUAGUAGUAGUGAGGGAUUUAUACCCCUCGAUACUACUAUGGCCAGUCCCGGGGGGCACGGUGGAGACCACUUAGUAGUAGUGUGGGGUUUAUACCGCUCGCUACUACUAUCAACUUAGUAGUAGCGUGGGUUCUAUACCCCUCUCUACUAAUAAUUAGCAGCAGUGUGGCCCAUAUACCCCUUGCUACUGUUAAGCAUCUAUCUAUAAAUUAUUUUCUAGUAGUGCAUCAAUGGCGGCGAAAUCAGUCAUUCUGCUUGUUUUCCCUACUAGCUCUCUGACGUCCAGAACAAGUUUACGGUCAUAAGGUGCAAUGCCCUUGCCUUCAUGAGUGACACGAUGACACGGGAACGGGCUUCCAAGCCUAUGGUGUCGCAUCGUGUCGUGGUCUGCUAAACUUAGUGGACGGAUGCUACUCCAAUAUCGGUUGAUCCUAUACUACGGUACCAAGGAAGACACGCAACUACUAUAUAUAUUUCUUCAAGUCAGUCAACACAAGUAAACUCUGGGAGUUCAACUGGUGCAGCUAUGCAAUGCUAAUGGAGACAACACAAUUCAACUUUAGCACUUCACACAUAAGAAAAACCACGUUCAAUGGCACACACCUUAGAGUGUACCUAUGGUGGUUGAAUGGGCUAUAAGAAAUGUGAGUCCAUGUGAAGAUGCCAAACAUAAUAACACGGCUAAUUACACAUGCAGUGGCAGCAGCAACAAGUGCGUGAAUUCAACAAAUGAUCUAGGGUACACAUGCAACGGUGUCCUUGAGUAUGACAACAACCCUUAUCUUCUAGACAAAUGCAUGGUAUGCUACUAAUUUAUUUGCUACAAAUUCCAAUGAAUUGUGUCCUUUGCUUUGUACAUACCCAAUUAUAAUAUUUUAUUAUGCUAAUACAAUGUAGCCUUCAAUUUAAACCAAGGUUUGCAUCCAUUAAUUAUGUUAGGUUCAUAUGACUUCACUACAUAAAUAGGUAGAUAAUGCAUAAGACUGAGAUUGUAGCUAGGGAUGAAAAUCUAAAUACGGCAUGAAUCUAACAAUUAUGAGUAAUGUCUUUGUGACAAGAACUUUCUUUGUCUUUUAUUCCCAUGUUUGAACUAGUAUAGGUCAGGGUUACACAUUAUGGUGCACAUCACUUUAUUUGUCACCGUUACAUUGAACACCCAUUGACUAAACAACGAUAAUCCAUCCGUCUUGUAUUACAGGUCUUCAUUUCAUUGGCCACCGAUGCUUGUAAGACUACUCCCAGAUGGUUGUUGUUGUGGAUAUGGUUGUUGAGGUUGGUGUGGUUGCUGGGGGAAUGGUUGUUGGGGUUGCUGGGAAAUUGUUUGUUCUAGUUGCUGGGAUAAUUGUUGUUGGGGCUGCAAAAAUGGUUGUUGUGGUUGCAGGAUGGAUGGUUGCUGGGGUUGGGGCUGGGGAAAUGAUUGUUGUGAUUGUUGGGGUUGCUGGGAAAAUGGUUGUUGCGGUUGAAGGGGGAAUGGUUGUUGUGGUUAUAGAGGGAAAGGUUGUUGUGGUUGUUGAGGGAAUGGUUGUUGUGGUUGUUGNNNN